rnacentral:lncRNA from 1 species
GUAAUUGUUAUAAUUACAUAGAAUAAAUUAGGAUUAAAGGGUUGUAGGAUAUAUACCUUUGUUUUGCAAUGUAUAAAUUUCUGUGAAUCAAUGAAGAAAACAGUAGUCAACUUAGGGCAAUCUCUUACUUUCAACUGCGUCAUUUCUGGGAAUACAAAAUGAUAUCCUUUGGGACAAAAGUGAAUGAGGCCAGGUAGUUCUUCAAGUGAUAAAUUUAGUAAUUUAUCAAAUUUCAUCUCCUCUUCAGCUACCACUUCCGCUUUUUCUUCUAAUUCGAAUACUUGUUCCAAUUUAGAAUUUCUUUCUACUAUGAGCCUUUCAAGCUUUGGAAGAACAGGAGCAAAUCCAAAAGGAAAGAGACUGCUCAAAUUUUUACAAUCUAUAACAACAAUCUCAGUCAAAUUUGGAAAGCUCAUAGGUUGGAGGCUAGUAUCACCAUUUGAUGAUGAUGAAGAAACUUGAUCCUUGGCUAAAAUGAGUCGCUCUAUUUCCUCACACCCCUCGAUGAAAAGACCCUUCAAAUGUGAUAAACUGCGAGCCAUCAUAGGUGAAAAUAUAUAUCUUAGCUUCUUGCAAUCUCUCAGUGUUAGAGUUGUAAGGUUCUCAAGGGUUACAACUUGAGCAAAAUCAUUCCAUAUAACCCGCACUUCAAAUAAAUUCCUCAAUUCCAAUGUUUUUAUGCUUGAGAACGAGUACCCGCCUUGAACUUGAAAUACUUCUUCAUGAUUCCCAACUACUAUACAACCUUCAUUCAAUACAGGAACAUCAGUGUUGCAUAAUUGGCGGAAAUUUCCCACGUUACUAAGAGUCAAUUCCUGCAUACACAGAAAUCCUAAUAAAUGUCAUAAAAACACACUAGAGUAAAUGUUACCCAUAAGUCUUCAUAAUUUUACAUAUUCCAAGUAAUAGAAAAUACUACUCUAAUCUCAAUGCUACAUGUAUCUUUGAUUUUUUUAAAGGAUAUGUUUUUUAAAUCUAAACCCCUAAAAUAUCUACCAAAUUAAUUAAACACAAAAGGCCAUACAAUGGAAUUCAUUUACAAAAGUAUGUAUAAAAGAGGAAUGAAUUAUCACAUGAACUAAGCAACAUAUCGAUUUUCUGAUUUGCUAUAGUGCAAAAUCCAUAUAUAAAAUGCGAACAAUCUAAAUACCUCUAUCAGCUGAGCUUGUACAAUGAAGCAUGAGAUUUGGGGACAAUUUGACACUUCUAAAUUUUUCAGAAAGGGCACAUUAAGUAGAAUGUGAUCACCAAGCACAUCCCUUUCUUCUUUCAAACUGAAGAAUUGUAGUAGUUGAGGGCAGUUCAGUAGGAAAACAGAUUCCAACAAUGGAAAUCCCUGAGUUAAAGUGUUUGCAAACACAUAUUUCAAUCGUUGGCAAUCCACUAUCCAGAGAGUUUUCAAUUUUGUCCAGCAAAGAUUCUACAUGAAUGAACCACAUAUUUAGAUAUUAUGCAAAAUAUAUGUGUAUAAAUAAAAGUGAGGAAUAUGAUUUAUUAAACAUAAUUGAAGUUUUAAAGAAUUUCUUUAUCAAAACAUAUGAAUAAGAAAUAAAUUGAUCUUCCAACGUAUCAGUUAUAAAGAAAUGUAUUUAUCAUAUUUCGCAACUAUGAUACUCCAACCACUUUAAAAUACUUAAUUAUGACUAUUAAAAAAAUAAAAAUAGAAUAUUCAUGGUAAUAGCCGAUGAGAGAGAGAGAGAAUUCUAAUUGCAGCUUCAAUUUUAAAAUAAAUGAAUUAUAAAUAACUUUUAAAAUAAGGUUGAAAUAUUAAUUAUUUUAUGAACAUAAAAAUGAAUUUGAGUCCAAAUACCUGUAAUCCAAAUCCAUCCUUAUUUUUUUCCGUGUUGAAGAUUUGUAUAAGUCGAGGACAAUCUUCUAUAUCAAUAGAUUCCAGGUAGGGAAAUCCUUGACUUGAACACAAAUAUUUCAAGUUUUCACAUCUUCUAAUUUUGACAACUUUCAAUUUUGGCAAGAACAGAGAAGACUGAUCUUUUAUGUUUGAAACAUCUAUUUCAUCCAUGUUUUCUGCUUCUCCGAUUAAAUGUUCUAAAGAGUAGCAAUCCCAAAUCCAAAGAAAUUGCAAAUGCACCAAAGUUCGAGCAGUGAUUUCCGAAAAGAGAUAUGUGAGUUUAUGACAUUCAGUUAUAUCCACACUACGGAGGUAAUGGUUCGGUCCGUUCCACAUGUACUUCAAUUCUGACAAUGAUAUUAACCUCAAAAAAGUUAAAUUUGUCAGAGAUUCCUGUCAUCCAAUAAUAUUUGUUAGUUUAAUCUAAUCACUAAAAUAAAUUGAUUGUACAAUGAUAUACACACUAAUUUUAAUAUCUCACAUAUAUUAUCAAAGCAAAACAAAAAUCAUAAUAAGGUAAAUUAAUUCAAUAAAUUUCUAAAAUAUAAUUAUUAUAUUACAUUAAAAUAAAAUAUUAAAGCGUAACAUCAUGAGAAAAUAAAUAUAUAAUAUUUCUCUAUUUUAAUUUUUAAUAUACAAAUAAUAAAGAGCGUGGCUCUUGAACAAAAGCUAGAGGCUGCAUCGGUUUGUUUGAAUACUUAGAAUUUCAAAAAUCAAUAAAUUACAAUUAUAAAAAGUAAUAAUAUGUAAUAUUCAUUAAAAAUAAAUGAAAGCAAAAAUACUCUAUGAAUUUUAAAAUAUUUAUCAUUAAAAGUACCUGUGAUCCAAGUUCAGGAAGCACAAUGUUUUGUUCCAUGUUGUAGACUUGUAUAAGUUGAUGACAAUUCUUUAUGUAAACAUAUUCCAAGGAUUGAAUCAAAGUGUUUGUAGAAAUAUAUUUCAAACUUUCACAAUCUUGUAUGUGAAGAAAUCUCAAUUUCGGCCAGCAAUAAAGAAGACAAUCAUUCUGCAUGUUUCAAACACAUUUUAGUAAGUUAUUUAUUUUAAAUUUCAUAUAGAAUCACAAAGUUCAUGACCCAAGAGAUUAUCUUGAGCAAUUUUGAAUCAAUCAAAUCUUCAAAAGAUAAUAUUUCAAGUGGCAUGUUCUUCUAUAAUGGGCUAAAAAUCAACCAUAGACUCAGUCAUAGCCCAUAAAAGUCAUUCAAUGAGUUGUCAAUAUAAUAAAUAUAUAUGGAAAUUAUCUCUAUAUUGAUUUGGUGCUCUAGGGAGUAGGCACUCCCUCGAACACCAAAAUCCUAAUUUCAUAUUUUUCAAUAAUAUCAAACCGACCUUGUAAGUUAGCAAUCCAAGGAUAGAAGAAAGGUGUGGCAUGGAAUUAAUUGAAGGCUUUUCUAUAAAGAAAUUAUAAAAUCUAAAUAAAAAGGAGAGACACAACAAUUCAUUAUGCAGUUUAUAAGCCUAUAAAUAGGUUUAAUAUAUUUGUGAUAUGUAUAAGCGAGCGUGUGGAUGAGAAGAAAAAGAAAGAGUGAAACAAAACAAAGGUGUGUGACUUUGUGUGCAUGAAAGUGGAAAUAAGCAAAGUGUGUAUAACUAGUUGUAGGUAGUAACUGAAAGGAAGAGGAAAAUAUAUUUGUAUUUUGCAUUGGUGUAUUUGUUUUGAGUAAUAAAAGCUACUUUCUUUAGUGGCCACUAUGCUUCCAACAAACCCGAUACACAUAAAUAAUAUAAAAAUAAAUACCAAACCAAGCACUUCACUUCAAAUUGGUUUUUGGUUUUCUUGCAAUUUGUUUCAUCCUUAAAAGAAUGCUAUCAUAAAGCUAAAACAAUUAAGAAGAUUAAAAAAAUUGGAGAGAAUAGGUAUCCCUACCUCAAUAAUCUCGUCUUCUUGGCCAAAACCAAUGACUUGCUCUAGUCGAUCGCAGUACCUUAUAUAAAGUUCUUCUAGAUGCAACAUACUUAAAGCUAGGCAAGGUGAGAAGAUUGUUUUCAGAUUAUCACAAUAGUCAAUUCUUACAACCUUUAGACUUUGGAGGCUUGCAAUUGCACGAUGGGAUUGCUUUACUUCCCAUAUCCUCUCCAAUUUCGGCAAUGAAUAUAGUUUCAAUAUUGUUAAAUUUGAGAGCAAUGGUGCCUGACAUUUCACUUUUUCAGAAAGUUUAUCCAUUUGAAAUAUCACUUGUAACUCUUCACAACGUUCGAUGCUCACUUGCUUAAGGUUUUGCAAGAACCUACUCGGAGAAACACCAUAGCACAACCCUUUCAAAGAAACCAUGCUUUCUAUAUUUAAUUCCACCAAAUUAGAGAAUGCAACAGUUGACCCUUGAUCCUUUUUUGUAUCAAUCAAGAAUUCCAUAUCAUUGCAAGAUUCUAGAUGCAGAGAAGUCAACUCAUUUACUCCCAUUUCAUCUAUGCUUGGCACAAUAUUCUUUUGUCCACCAACAUUCCUCAAACUCAACUCUUCCACAUUGCAAAAUAAAUUGUUAAAUGCACUUAUUGAAGAUGAGAAAUUUUGAAUAUUCAAUCUUCUAAACGCCUCCCGAUCGCUACUAUAAUAUCCUCCAACUAUAUCGUACCUUUGUAGUUUAGGGAGCACAAAAUCUUCUUGAGGAAUUUGAUUAGUAGAAAGUUCCAGUGAUAGUGCAGUUAAACGAGACAAUGACUUCAACUCCAAUAAGUUGAGAUUAUUUUUGGUUUCGACAUACAACUCUUGUAGUGAAGUCAACCUAUUAUAUUCAUAAAGAAAGUAGCAUUAAUUGAAAAUUUAUGUGACACAAUCCACAUUCCAUGAGGUAAAAAAAAAUUGUAAUUCCUUGAAGUAAUUCAUAAAAAAGAAAUAUGUAAAAAAAAAAAAGAAGACAAAAACUUGAAAUAAAUCAAGAUAAGUAAUAAAAGGACACUAUUAAAAUUAAAUAAAAAAAUCUCUAAAUUUUUUUUAUCACUUUCAAAGAAAUUUUCAAGAGGUUAAUUUUUUUUCUUUUUAACAAUUUAUCUCAAAAUUUCUGGGUCUAAAACAUAAGUAAUUUUUCUGGUUUUUUUAUAAUAAUUUUUUCACUCUCAAAUUUUAUAAAAAAGUCAUUUUACCCUUCCAUUUAAAAGUCAUUUUACCCUUCUAUUUAAAAUUUCACCUUUUAUAACCCUUAAAUUUAUGGUUUUUUUGUUAAAUCAUCUCAAAAUGAAUAGAAAAGUUAAUGUUUUUAAAAUUUUGCUGAUGUUGAUAUACGUGAAUUAACACAUGAAUAACACAUUAUCCAUAAUAUAUAUAUAUAUAUAUAUAUAUAUAUAUUAAAACAUAUCUAAUAGUAAAAAAAAUUAAGCAUUUAUCUUGAUGUUUUAUUAAAAUUUAAAGUCUUUAUUGUAUUAAACUUCCUUAAUUAAUUUUUAUUGAAUAUUUUAUAUAUAUAUUUUAUAUUUACUUUAAUAUAUAUAUAUAUAUAUAUAUAUAAAACACUUAAUUAUAGUUAAUAAAAUUUUUUAUUUUCCUUGGCAACCCACAUAUCUAUCCACAUACACUUCAGAAAUUAUAUUAUUUGUCUUAUAUGAAUAAUUUUAAAUUUAUAAAAAUAUUCAAAAAAUAAAAAAAUUGAAAUUCAAAAAAAUAAAAAAAAACUAUAAAAUUAAAAAAAUAUAGCAUGAAGUAAGUAUGGAUUGGAAUGUGGGUGUUCAUGUUUAAAAACUUAACAUUUUAGUUAGUAUUUCCGUUAAAAAAUAAUUCAACAUUUUUUAAAAGGUUGAUGCUAUUUUUUAAAUGUCCAUAACCAAAUUUAAUUAAAAACCGAAUAAGGACUAAAUUGAUAAAUGAUGUCAAAACUAGUAUACUAAAAUUAAAAAUACCAAUUAAAGUAAUUAAGAGGAAAAUAAAUUAUGUCAAACCAAAUACGAAUAUGAUAAAAAGAAAAUUAAAUCUGAUGCACUCUUACCUUGAUACCAAAUUUGGGGGGAUAUUCAUUUCUUUUUCAACUCCAACACCAGAAAGACAAAAAUAUUUCAGUGCAGACAACUUCACUAAUUCUUCACUUAUCUCAUCAAUUUUAGUGCCAAUCAAUGCAAGAAUCUCAAGGCUUCUCAUAUUUGUCAGUGAUGAUGAGAAGUUUUCCAGCUCGCAAUCCACACAACACAAAGUUUUAAGAUUUGGUAAGGAAGGGAAUCCUUUCAGUGAGAAGCUGACACAUUUGAGAAGUAAAACUUGGAGGGCUUUCAUUUCUUCAAAAAAUGUACCGAAAACCACUAGGAAAUUAUCAUCUCGGUUCCUCUUCCACUCACCCUCUAAAAACAAAGUUUUGAGCUUUGAAAAUUCCACUUUAUCAGGAAAAUUUUUUAUGAUACUACUACAAUUCCAUAAUGCGAUUGCAGUAUAACUUUCAUCCAUAUGAGGCCAUUCUUUCAACUUAUCUUUUACCAUGAACCUAUUUUCUCCCGUUGAUGUUAGCCAAUGAGCAAAAUCUCGAAUCACAUCAUGGAUUCUAAUCGUAUCUGCACCAUCAGUUUCCAAUAACAAGCCAGAUUUUUGGAGUUUUUUUAGUGCUUCAAUAAUUUUCUUCCUUUUAUCUUCAAUCGAGUAAACAUUAGGGAACAAUCCUACUCCAAUUCCGCACAUAAUCAAUAUCUCAAUACUGAUUUCUUUAUCUUCAGGAAAAAGGGAACACAGUAAGAAACACAUUUGGAUGUGAUUUCCCGUCAUUUGGUUAAUGCCUUUCUUCAAGUAAUCGUAGCUAAGCUUAAGAGGCUCGAUGACACCCCCUAGGACUUCUUCAUCAUACAAAUGCGUUGAGUCCUUGAAUCUCUGAUUUGCGUCUCUCCACCCAUUUAAACUCUCACCUUUUAAAGCUUUGGCCACGACAACAAUUGCAAGAGGCAAUCCCUUACAUUGAGCAGCAACCUCUUUGGCUACAUCAUUCAAGGUGGAACAAUCAUCUUCUAAACCAGUUUUAUCUCGAAAUAAAACCCAUGCUUCGUCUUCGGAUAAGAUGUCAAGUUGAAUUUCCUUACAGUUCAUUUUAGUGCAGACUUGUUGACGACGUGUAGUCAGAAGAAUUUUACAACCCUCGUGUUCAUCACCGAAUGGAAUUCCGAUUCUCUCCAUUUUGAAUUCUUCCCAGAGGUCGUCGACAAUUACGAGGAUUUUGUUCACGCGUUGCAUACUCCUGAAUAGCUCUUCUGCUCUUCCUUCUUCUGUAUUUGUAUGAAAAUUUAAACCAAACAUCUCUGCAACUUUAUCUUGAAUUGUUCUGAUGUUUGGAUUUUGGGACAUAGUAAACAUCACAACUUUAUCAAACAACUUUUGUUCUCGAGCAUGCUUCCCAACUUCUUUGGCUAAAGUUGUUUUACCAACUCCUGGCAUUCCGUGCAGUCCGAUCAUGUUGACACCCUUAGCAUUUAUAGCCUCCAUGAUCUGGUUGAAAGCUGAUUGUGAAGAUUCAGAGUCCAUGAAAUCAGCGGAUGUGAUGAACUCUAUGCCUUGAAGAGGACGACGAUAGCCCACCUGUGCAAAGUUAGAAGUCUCAAAAAGUUUAGAGAUAAUAGGAGUCUUCUUUGCCAGUUUCUUACUUAAGGAAUAUCGCCAGCCCCAUUUAGGACACCAUUUGAAACACUUGACGCGAUCUAUUUCAUCUUGCAAGUUCUGGGUUUCUUCCAGUUCUUGCUCAGCACUUCUAAGCCAGUUCUUAACGUCAUCAUAGAUGAUCUCAGUUUGCCUUUUAGCCUCAUCGACAUCAGUGUCCACCCUCUGUUUCGUCAAUUUAAGUGCCAUUCGUUGAUUCUUGAAAUCUUCAACAAUCUGUCCAUAACGGAAAAAGUAACGGAGAUAAGGUGAUGCGAAUUCCUUUGCCUCGUUUGCCACAAUUCUGACAGCAGCAGGGGCAACAUAUUCGGCCAUUUUUGUUGAUAGUCUGAUGAGAUUGAAAAAAAAAAUUGGUUAUUAGUAAGAAGAUUAACAUAAAGAGAAAUAAAAGCAAUUGUGACAUAUAAAAUCAGUAUUUGUAGUAAAAAAUCGAGUGGAAGCUACCAAAUAAGAAGCUGUAAAUAUUGAUGUAAAGCAAAAAUGUUGUUAUUGAAGAAGGUAGAAAAUACCUCUCUUUCUGUCUGUGAAUACCAGAAAGUAAAAAGAGCUUGAGAGAAAUAAGUAGCUGUAAAAGAUGAAAAGAAUUGAUUUAGCGCAGGUAAUAGAAAAAUAAUAAUAAUAAAAUUGAGAGCAUGUUUUAACCUUCAUAUCACAAAUAAAUAAAUAAUUAAUUAAUGUAAUGCAAAUAAUAUAACCAUACAUGCACACUCAAUCCUAAUUACUCUUCCCAUUGUAUUCAUUCUAAAUCGGAGCUAUAAUUUGUAUGUGAAAUACCAUCAUAUUCUUUUAAAAACAAUUUCUCAUAAAGAAAUCCUAAAAAGGAUUACAUUCUCUUAAAACAUAUUUUCUAUUUAUUUCUACAUUUUCGAUUAUAGAUUGGAUGCUUUUAAGUUCCUAUAGAAUUAGAGUUUGUGUGCUCUCUAAAAUGUUUAAUGAAAAAAAACGAGAAAACUAAUGAAUGGAGAAAGGACACUCUUCAUUUGCCCCUUUCCUGUUUGAUCCGCAUGUUAUAUACUUCAACUCUGAGUAAAAUCUGAUUCGAUUCGAAAAUUUUGAUAAAAAAAUUUAAAUUUUGAUUUAACUAGUUCAAGUUAUUUGAGUUAAUUAAGUUAUUCGGAUAAACUCGAAUUAACUAGUUCGAGUUAUUUGAGUUAAUUAAGUUAUUUGGAUAAACUCAAAUUGACUCGAAUAUGAAUUACAGAAUUCGAGUUAUCCGAAAAUCCGAAUUAGAAAAGAUAAAACUAUGCCAUUUUGAUAAAUGUGUACCUUUCUAAAGUUAAAAAUCAAAACCAUUAAAUUAAAAGGUAAAAUUACAUCAUUUUGAUAAAUAUUUACUCAUUAAGUUAAGAGGCAAAACCAUUAUAUUGUUUAUGUAGUUAAAUAAUAUUGUACUUCGUCUGCUAGUUAAAUAAUCGGUCCAUGUAAAUGCAAUGUUGAAUAUAAAUAAUAGGAUUGGUUAACUCGACUCAACUUGACUCGAAAUUUUUUACUCAAUUUGAUUUGAUUAAAAAAAAUCAAAUUGAAUUUAUCAACUCGACUAACUCGAAAUUUUUCGAUUCGACUCUACUUAAUCAAAUACUCACCCUAGUUCCAAUGUUCUUGUUCUAGUUUGUUCAAUCUUUAAAAUGAAUCUAUAAACUCUUUAAUUAAGACGGAACUUGUAUGAAACCUUUUUUUAUGAAAAAUAAAAUCACAAGUGAUUUAAAAUGACUUCAACCAAACUAAUAGAAAUUUGAGAAUGCCAAUAAAUAAAACGGAGAUCCACUCAACAAAAACAUGAAAACAUAUAGCAAUGAGGAGCAGUUCCUCAAAACUUACCUUCACUGAACUAUCCUCUGCGCUGUUUCUUUUGCCAAGUGGAAAUCAAGGUAUGAAGAAAGUUUGGUUUUCAGAAAUAAAAGAAAUUUUGCAGGUUUUUUUUUCCCCCCUUAAUUGAGACAAUACAAGAAUAUGUGAAGACUGGAAAACAAAUAGUGGAAAUUAUCACACACAGAUUUUUUUUUUUUUUUUUUUUUUGGUGAUGAUCACAGACACAGAUUUCAGAAUAUGUAAGCAAAAAAGGAAAUGACCACAAACACAGAUUUGAGAAUAUGGAAGCAAAAAAGGAAAUGAUCAGAAACACAGAUUCGAGAAUUAGAAAGCCAAAAACAAAGAGUGGAAAUGAUGAGAAACACAGGUUUGAGAACUUGGAAGCAAAAAACACUUUGGAUGAGGAAGAAGAAUGGGAAGUCGUUGGUUUAACUUUUUUUUAUUUAAAUUCAUAAAACAAAUUAUUGUUCAUCAUUCUUUUCUUUAUUAUAAUAAAAUAAUCAUUAUUUUUAUUACCAUUAAAGUCAAUGUCUUUGUUAAUGUAAAAUUCCAUUUUUUAUAUUUUUAUUUAUUUUAAUUACCGUUAACAUUGAAGUUUUUAUUGAAGUAAAAUAUAUAAAGCUGCUUUUUGUUAUUGAAUAUUAUAAUAUUUUAUAUAUACUUUAAUGUAUAGUUAAAUCAUUAUUAAUAAAAAUUUGAUAAUUUAAUAUAUAAAUGUCUAUUAUUUUAUUUAUUUUCAUUACCACCAAUCGUGAAAUUUUGACUUAGUGGCAAAGAGUAUUAGGUAGUAAGCACGAGAACUUGGGUUCAAUCCCAAAGAACCCUAACCCUUACCCUCAAAUUUGUUGAGAAAUGUGUCUAUAUUGUAGUAAAUAUGCAAUUAUUUUCUAUGUACUUGAACGAUAAAUAAAUAAAAUUAAUUUCACAUUUCACUAUUAUAUCUUUGUGUUUUUGUCUUUAAUAUUUUGCAUAAAUAGAAAAAUUAUGAUAAACAAAUGUUAGCUUAAUGAUUUUCUAAGUUCAAACUGAUGAUAAGUGGCAUUGUAAGAACGUUUACAUUACAAGAAAGACAGCUUACAUUAAUAGGUAAUCUAAACGAGUUCAUAAUUCUGUAAAAGAAUCAAAGAGUGAAUUUGAUUCAAAUACUUAAAAAAAUUAUUAUGUCAUCUACAAUUCUAAUUAGGGAGAUGACUAAUUUUAUCUAUCGCAACAGUUGACACCAUGGGUAAAAACAUAGAUAUACUCAUUGGAAGACUGAUAUAUUGAAUUAAAUCUAAGUUGAAUUAAUACUGAAUCUGUUUGUGAAUUAAUUCACAUCUAACAUUCAUGGUGUGUGACCUACCGUCAAUUGUGGUGGUAGUUUUAGUACAUUUCGACACUUCACGAACUUGUUUUCUGGCUAUUUUAUAUUUAUUUAUUACAUUUUCAGCUUUCGCAAUUUAGAUUUAAUUAUUUACAAAAUAAGUGUUUUUACAUACUUUUUAAUAUUUUGAAAUCUCAUAAGGCCAACAUGGAUCUUGAGGGCGACUAAUAGGCUACUUGAGUGUGUCGGGUGUCAAUUCAAGCCCUAAAAUAUAAAGGACAACGGACUUCAUUAGGAAACUUUUGACUUAAAUUCCUUUUUUUUCUUGAAAUAGACACAGUACCCCUAAUUUUUCCAAGUUGAUAUGAACUAUAACUUGAUUUGCUUUAGAAUUUAUAUGAAUUCUAAUUUUUUUUCUUGAAAUAGGUACUAUGGGCUCACUAUUAAUAUUUAAUUUAUUUUUACUCUUUUUUUAGUAAAGUCCUAAUUUUGUUAAAACACAUUAUUUUCAAAUUAGACCUCUUAAUUAGAUUUUGUUUUAGAUUAAUACAAUAUACCUAAUUAUUCUAAACUCCUAAAUUUUAGGUUGUUACAAUAUGAAUUCUAAAUUGAUUUACCCAUAAAAAUAAAUAAAUCGAUCUCUCGGACUAAAAUAUAAAAGAAAUUAAAAUAAUUUAUAAAAAUCCAAAGAGGAAUAACCAUGGUUAAGCCGUGUAUUUAGAGCAUUAAUUUGAAUUUGAGUUUAGUUUUCUUUAUGCUCCUCAAUUAAUGGAAGAAAAGAAUAGUGAGAAAUUACUACUUACCGAGAUUGUGGGUUUCUUCACUCCUUUUUAGGAAUUGUCAAUGAAUUCCUCACGCGGUCACCUUUUUAUUAUUUUUAUGAUGAAUAAUUAAUUAUCAAGAGUCUUCACCACUUUCGCCUGGGACAGGCAUCGUUGAUGAAUUAUUGAUGCUGCUACUUGUUACUAUUUUUAUGAUGAAUAAUUAAGUACGAAGGGUCUUCACCACUUUUGCCAGUGGGAAAGGUAUUGUUGAUGAAUUCUUCACGUUGUUGUUUCUAUUAUUUUUAUGAUGAUUAAUAAAUUAUCAAGAUCCUUCACCAGUUUCGCCACUGCGACAGGCAUUGUUGACGAAUUAUUCUGUUACUUUCUAUUAUUUUUAUGAAGAAUCAUUACGUAUGAAGAGUCUUCACCACUUUUGGUAGUGAGACACAGGCAUCGUUGAUGAUUUCUUCACGCUCUUACUUUUUCAUUAGUUUUAUGAUGAAUAAUUACGGAUGAUGAUAAGACAGAGGUGAAAAGUUGAUUUUCUUUUUAAGAAGCAAUUUUUAGGUUUUUUUAAUUUAAGAUUGGAAGUAACUAAGAAAAGAAAAUAAGGUAUGUAAACCUACGUUCUUGAAUGUGUUUUCUUUUUGAAAUGCUUAUAAUGUUAAAUUUUUGAACAGUUUUCUAUUAUUUUUUUACAACGAAUGAAGAAAAAAAAGAAAAAGAAAAUACGGUGUAUAUAUAUAUGUUUUGUUUACAGUGAUAUGAUUGAGGGGAAAUGUCGAUUUCCAUUGAAUUCAUACUUGAAAAUAGAAAUCACUGUCUGAGACUUUGGACGAAAAAAGAAAAUAAUGCCAAGGACACUGUUAACAGUUCAAACUUUAUUUUCCCUUACUAUGGUCUUAAAUUGUUUUUUAUCAUUUUGAUUUUUAAUCUCUAAAAUUAUAUGAAAAUGUUAUAUUUUGGAUGCAUGGAAAAUAUUGAACUAAAAUGAUACCAUAUAAACAUUGUAAAUGAGAUACUAUUUUGUGGGUUCAUCAAAUCCCUCAAUGGAUGUGUAAGAAUCAACUUCCAAUGUGGCCACGUGUUGGAAAAAUCUAGUUUAAUAAAACAGUUUUCUGUCACGGUGAAAAAUUAAAAUUUUCAAAAUUGAGUUAGUUUGUAAUAUCUAUAGCAAUAAUUUUUUUUCUAAAAAUACGUGUAUUUUGCGCAAGACAGAUCCUAGACGUUCUCAGCAUUCAAUCGAAUAGCCUUCUCUGCUAUCCUUGUACUACGAAAUACUUCGAAUGUGGGCUCGAACAAUCAUGAACCAAGCACAAAAUCAAAAAUAAUUUAUUACUUUUAGUAGGAAGGUAAUUCUCUUUACAAUAAAAACCGGCAAAAUUGUUAUUCCCAUAAAGAUAUAAUUUAUUAUUAGAAAAUAAAUAUUCACAACUUUAUGAUAGAUUAACAAUAUUGAAAAUUUAUGUGAAAGUUUUAUGAAUAGAUCUACCAGUGUCAUCUAUUUAUAAGGAAAUAUAAAAAAAAUCCUAGUAGAAUUAGUAAAACACAAAUAAUAUUUAUUUAAUAGAAAAUUUAGUCUUGUAGUUUAACUAGAAGAGGGGGAGGGGGCACUCCCUAUUUAAGUACACUAGGAAUACUGCCUUCAUAUGUAAUAUGAGAGAGAUUUGGGCAUUUACUAUAUUGAGUUAAAUUAUUUGUGCUUUCUGGAUUUUAACCUAGCACUUUAUAAUUUAAUUCAACUCAAUACAUAUUUUUCAAUUUCUCAAAAUAAAUAUUGUUUAUUUAUUUAAUUUAAUUAGAUAAAUUAAUUUUCUAAUUAAAUAUUUUUUAAUCUCAUUCUAAUUGCGUUAAAGUAACAGAAACUUAACUUUAUUGUAAAAUAAUUUAUGUGGAAAUAUAUUUAAUUUCUAUUUUCAACGGAUUCACAAUGGUUACUUAAAUUAAUUCCAUUUUUGAACUUCAAUUCUUUAAUUAAAUAAUAAUUCAAAAACCUUAAAUUAAUUUUCAAGUCAUUUCUACACUCAUUGUAAAAAGACACAUUCAUUUGUGAAUGUGACCCAUUUAUCUAAUUUUAUCAUUUCUAUUCAUUUCUUUUCAUUUGGUUUUAUAUGCACCUCAUUUUUUUGUUUCAACGAGUUAACAAAGGUACCAAUUGGACAUAUGCAAUUAGGGUUCAAAUAAUUUGUAAUUAAGUUCCAGCUUCUUAUCUAUUAAUUAUAAAUUUAUUUAGUCACGAAGUUAUUCCAUUAUAGUAUUGUGAUUGAGCUCUCCCUUAUUACAUACCAUUACGAAAACUACUUAAUCAGUCCUCGUCCAAUGAUAUAGUCAUAAGUGUGUUACCCUCAUAGGAUAUCAUUAAUCUCUUUGAGAUAAAUUUAUUCUCCCAAUAUGAUCUUAUUUUAUGUCAUGGUAAUCAUUACAUCUUUCUUCAUGAAAAGUCAAUUACUAUUAAAUAGUAAUCAUGUCGUUUAUCACAAAGAAAAACGAAGUGUAGUCACAUUUACUUUUAAUCUAUUAUGUAAUGCCAUUUAAAGGAUACCAUUUACUCAUUUUUUGAGCUUUGAAUUCCACUAUUUUGAAUAAUGCUAUAUAAUGUACAAGUCGUAUACCCAACACACCAACUUUCAGUUCCUUAUCUAUUUGGACUCAAGCUUUUACUUACAUCAAAGUAUAAAAGACACGCAUACAUAGUCCUUCAUCCACUCAGGAUUAAGGUAUGCCACACUACGAACAUCACAAGUGAGUGAAUCCAUAAACGGAUAUAAAAUGUAUUCUACUUGGGUCUUGUCCGAUGUGUUGUCAAUCCAGUUAGUCACAUCUAUAUCUCUAUCUUUUGGGAGUCAUCUGCUUUGAAGCUCAAAACAAAACUUGUCCCCCAUUACACUUGAUAGACAACAUAUUAGUCUUUCAAUCGGUUUGCUAAUUUCCAAUUAGACUAAGGACAUGUUUAGGUUCAUCUAUUAAUAAAAAUUAUUUUUCCAUAUUACAAUCCGACUACGUAAUAUCACUUUUAAAAAUAGCAUAACAUAACUUAAUGAAUAUAACAAUUACCAUUUGAUCAUGACUGAAAUUUUAAACUUAAAAAAAAAUUAAGAUUGAAAAUUUAUCAAAAUAAAAUAUAAAAAUUAAAUAUACAACUUACAAAAGAUACAAAAAUUAUUAAUAAAAUUUAACUAUUUAAAUUAUAAAUAGAAUUUAAUCAAGUCUUACUUUUGAAAACUUUUAGAGUUAUUGAUUUCACUUUAAUUUGUUUAUUUAUUUUAUUUUUACUUUUAGAAUGAAAUAAUAGUUGAAAGAAGACAGAAUGAUGUCAAAAGGAUUUUUAAAUUCGAAAGAUAAGCAAGAAAAAGUGAUUAUUUUAUUUAAAAGAAACAUGGUGUUUACUUAUAAUUUAUCGCUUCAAUUCUUCAAUACCUUUGCUAUCUAAGAUACCAUUAUUACUUUUUCUUUUUUUUUUUUCAUUUUGGUAAUAAAUUUUUUAUCAUAAAUAGUACAUAAGUUAUUUUUUUCUACGUUCACAUUUUGUUAAUCAAAUAGUCAAACAAACCAUUAAAUCUAUUUAAAAACAAUUUUAACCCUUAAAUUGGUACCAAAACUCUGUCAUUUUUCUAAUUUUGAUACUUAAAUAAAAAAAUUUUAUCACAAAUGCUACUUAAAUCAUUUUUUCCCCAAGUUGAUACCUAUGUUAUUAAGCUAACUGUUUAGUUUAUAGAUAGAGUUUCAUUAAGUCUUAUGUUUUAGAAUAUUUUAUUUAAAAUAUCUUAAUUAGUGGAAGAUAAAGUCUUAUGUUGAUAGCAUUGCCAAACAUUAUAAAGGAAUAAGAAAUAAAUAUAAAAAAUAAAUAAAAGAGAGAGAAAACAUGUAAAAAAAGAAUUAAAAUUUAUUUUUUAAAGUUUAUAUGAUGUAGCAUUCUAUAAUUGGUUGGAAUUUUUUUAAAGGAUAAAACAAUUUGGUGUAAAAUGGGUAACAAAAGAAUAGUUUAUAUACCGGUUGUGGUUAAAAAAAGUUUAGAUACCAACUUGGAAAAAGAGAGUAUUGUUUAGGUAGUAAUUUGUGGGUUAAGUUGUUUUUUAAAUAAACAAAGAUUUACCAUGAUUGCAAUUUUAGAGAGACGCGAAAGCGAAAGCCUAUGGGGUUGCUUCUGUAACUGGAUAACCAGCACUAAAAAUCGUCUUUACAUCAGAUGGUUUGGUUUUUGAUGAUCCCUUUUUGACUGCUACUUUUGUAUUUAUUAUCGCCUUCAUUGCUGCUACUCCAGUGUUUCUAGAUCUCUACUUUAUGGAAACAAUAUUAUUUUUGGUGCCAUUAUUCCUACUUCUACAGCUAUAAGUUUGCACUUUUACCUUAUUUGGGAAGCGUCAUCCUUAUGAGUUAAUUGUUUUACACUUCUUACUUGGUGUAGCUUGUUACAUGGGCCGUGAGUGGGAACCUAGUUUUCGUUUGGGUAUGCGGCCUUGGAUCGCUGUUGCAUAUUCAGCUCCUGUUGUAGCUACUACCACCGUUUUCUUGAUCUAACAUGUGAAACGGAUACAUAGAUUGCUUAGAGGUCCAAGGUUUAAACCACACCUCUCUCAUUUUUCCAUUUUAAAUUUUUAGCAACCCAGGAUAAAAGCCACACUAAAAUAAAUAUUAUUUAGAGUGAAAUUUAUUAAGAAAUGGGUAGCAAUCCAAUGGUUAAACACUUACUCCUCUCCCAUGCAGCCUCUUCAUAUUUGAAAACUCUAGUUAUUUAUUCCCUUUUUCCCUAAUUACACUAGGAUUAUGUUUCUUUUUUCGUUCCAAUUAGAAUUUCUCUUCUCUCUCCCUAUUUCUUCUCAUAUUUCUUUUCCAUCAACUUCUUUGCAUCAAAUUUUCUCUCCAUUGCUGAAACUAUUUUUGCUCUCGAUAUCAAAUCAAUCCUCAACAAUUCGAUUCUCUACCAUUUGUUGAAUUUAUCUUUGAUAGCUUCCGUAAUUCCAUCAAGUACGGUAAGUGCCUCUCGAUCUAAAGUUUAGGACCCCAAAUUUCAUAAUUUUUUUAUCCGAUAUUGAUCUUACAAAUCAAUUAGUCAAUCUUUCACGGUUCUUGAAAAACCUAUCGUUAAUAUACAAAUGUUAACUAUUGUAUAAUUGUCGUUUGAAGGACCCAAUUUAGGGAUCUCGAAUCAGAUUUGAACAUGAGGGACAUCGCUCAAGAUCUCGAUGAAUCGGGAAAAAAUCGUGCCAAUGAUAACACCAUAGAGUCUUCCACACAAGUGUGUGGGUUACACAGCCCCUCACACGACCAUGUCCCCUUAAAACCCAAGGAUCUUCGAUUCUCACAUGGCCUAGGACCCUUCAUAUGACUGUGUCUCCCUUACACCCUGAUUUUGCCUGAUCCAUACUGCCACAGCCUGUCACACGAUAAUGUAACCCCUUCAUGUGACUGAAGGCAUUGCAUACGGCCAUGUGCCCCUAUUUAAAUUAUUACCUAAAAUUUUAUGAUUUGUUCAGUUUAGUCCCUGAAUGGUUUUUAAACUAUUUUUUAAUGUUUUAUUUUUAUUCAAUUAAGUCCUUGAUAAUAUGGAAAAUGCUAGAAUCCAUGACAUAAUUGACUAAAUUAAUGUUAUAUAUAAUUGCUUGUAUUGUGAAUGAUAUAUAUGUUUAUUAUAUAAACAGAGCCAAGUUGUGCUCUAUCUAUAAGUAUAAACAUAUAAUCAAAAUAAAUUUCACUUCUUCUUGAAUGAUUUGAUUACAUAGAGAGUAAUAUUCUUUAGAUCUUAUGCAUGUUUUGAGUUAUAUAUAAGAAUGGAUGCAAUAUUAUAUAUUUGUUAUAAAUUGUUUUAUAUUGUCAAGGUUGUGGUUAGGAAAUAGACCGCGGACAAUCAUCUCAAUGUAAGGCUAUUUUUUUUAAAAUUCAUAGAAUUCUUGUGAAUGAAAACGGACAGAAGACUUAAAUCACUACAAGAAAUAAAGCUUUUAGAGGCAUUUUUAGUGGCGUUUGGACCAAAAAUGCCGUAAAAGUUAUGCAUUAGUGGCGCUAAUUGAAAAACACCACAAAAGGUCAAGCAGUAGCGGCAUUUUUUAUAAAAAAUGCCGCAAAAAAUCAUUUUAUUUUAAACAAAACGGCGCCAUUUUGCUCCCUGUAUUCUCACCCAUCAUCCAAGUGGCCAUCAUGUAUUGAUCUUUUCGACAACUCAUGCACUGUUUUAUCCUCUUCUAUUUAUUAUUUAACUAGUUUCUUUAUAUUAAUUGAAAUACAAUUUAUUUUUAAUUUAAUAUUAAAAAUCUUCAGAAAAAUUAAUGACACGUAAAAAACAUUAGAAAGUAAAAACAUAGAAAAAUAUAUGUUAAAAAUGAAAAAAAUGAAAAUACUAUUAUUUAAAAUACUAUUAUUUAAAAUAAUUUUAUCUGCUGUAACAAACUGACUUCUAACUAGAAGAGAUUUUGAUUGGGGAUUCUAGUUUACAGAGAGGCUUGACUCCUUUUGUAGAUGAUGGCCUAAUUGAGAUAGUUGGAUUUAGAAAUGUCCUGCAUGGUCUUGUUUUGCUUGCUCCAAAUGGACAUGAGACUCAUUUAGCACCGGUAGAAUAAGAAGGUUCAUGACUGGUUUGCACUUUUUGACCUUAGGGAUUUUGAAAUUUUGGAGAUUAGACUGUAUUUGGGAAUUUGAAGAUAUAGCGGAAAUUGUAGCUCCUAACCAUAUAGGUUCAUUAAUUAUGAGGUUAGAUCCUUCAUUAUUGGUAUAUAAAUUGUCGAAACCAUUUUUUUGAUAAAAGCGUCGACUUUUUAAAUUAUGAUAAAACAGGAGUCGCCACCGAUCUUUUAUUGAAGUAUGAUCGGAUCACCUUGAAAAUUUUUUUGGUCUACGAGUUUCAAAAAAAAAAAGGGGUUCGGGAGUCAGUUAUGUGUGAGGAAGGAUUAGCACCCCCGUAACGCCCAAGAUUGGCACCGAAUCGAUUUAUUAAUAUCUCAAUGUCAAAAUUUUGAAAGGAUUUUUAAAAUACGAUUCCCCUUAAAAAAACUUGAAUAAAUUGAAUUAAAUGCUAAGACCCUUUGUUUUGAAGAAGUCAAAUGUAAUACCCAGUGAGUUAGGAUACAACAUUUCUAAUUCUCGAAAUUAAACUUGCCUUCUGACUUUAAAAACUCAUGAUUUUAGGUUUGAGAAGGAUACUCGGAUAUUUAGGUGAAAUGAAAAAUCGGAACCUAGUGAGUUAGGGUUCAAUUUCUCAAAAUUCUCAAAUACAGAAUAUUGCCUGCUUUUUUUGAAAUCCUUACCUCGAGGUAACAAAAUGUCACAUCCCGUGAGUUAGGAUACAACCCUUUUGGAAUUCCCGAGAUAAAUUUUGGUUUUUGAAAUUGGUACGAUUUUAUUGAAAAAGGGAUACUCGGCUAUUUAAAUUCAACAAAAAAAUUGAAGCCCAGUAAGUUAGGGCACAAUCUCCUCGAGAAUCUUGGACCCCGAGUAUCUUGAAAAUUUUGGAAUAAAACUACUUUAAUGUUUUAAUGAAGCGUAAUCUUCAAAACAAAUGUAGUGCGAUUAAUGGUAACGCAUAAUACGAAAGGAUAAUUUGUAAAUAAAACAUAGACCAAGGAAUGAUGAAUAAAUAAUAAAAAAAUUCAACAAGCUUAGCAAUGAUUAUCUCAUGCGAACACCAACAUUAGCUAAUAGGAGGAAACUAAUUUAAAAUUGAGCAAAUUUACAUAAACACCAAUAAAGUGUACAAGUUUAAACACCAUUUAAGAAAAAAAAUGACAUGAAAGAAGGUAAAUUGAAAUUAAUAAAUUAUAUUUAAAUGAAUAACAUGUAGAAAAAUUCGAAAUAAAUUUUACAUGAAAUUGUAAUAUGCAAAUGAAUUCUAAAGUAAAUAUGGUAUAUAAGUAGAAAAUUAAAAUUUAUAAUAUAUAAAACAAUUAAUACACAUAUUAAUUUAAAUAAAUAAUGCAUAUUAAAUGAAGAGUUUGAUAAUAAUAAAAACAAUAAUAUAUGUACAUAAUAAAAAUACAAUAUGGUUGAAAUAUACAAAAUAAGUAAAGGAGGUUUAAAAAUAAAUAAAUUAUAAAUGUAAAAGCCAAAAGAUGAUAAUUAUAAUAAGGGUAAACUACUAAAAUAGUCACUUUUGUUUGGUUCAGGUUACGUUUUAGUCACUUAUGUUAUCAUGUUGUAGCAUUUUUGUCACUGAGCCGUUAAUUUCUAUUAACUCUGUAACAAUAAGCUAAUGUGGCACAUUAAAUCAUCAUUUCAAACAAAAAUUCUAGGUUAAUUUAUACAAUCGGUCCCAUAUUUUUUUCUUUUAUGUUUUUUUAACUUUCUUUCUUUUCCAUUCUCUUAUGCUUCUCCCUUUGUUUUCCUCCUUUCUCCAUUUAAUUUCUUUCAACGUAUUUGUUUUCCUCCUUUCUCCAUUUCUUUCAACGUAGUUUUGCUAUGUUUUAUUUUUUUGACCAAUUUAAUUUUUCCGAGUGAGGCGAGCUUGUGGACUAGUUACAGAUGGAAAACAUAGAAAAACUAUGUUAAAAGAAAUGAAGAAUAGAGGAAAAUAGAGGGAGAAGCAGAAGAGAAUGGAAAAAAAAAGUUAAAAGAACUUAAAAGAAAAUUUUAAAAUUGUUUAAAAUGAAAAAAUAUAGGGACCAAUUGUAGAAUUUAACCUAAAAUUUUUGUUUGAAAUGAUGAUUUAACAUGCCACAUCAGCUUAACAUUACACCAUUGUUGGCAAUUAACGACUCAGUGACUGAAAUGUUACAACACGAUAACGUAAAUGACUAAAACAUAAUAUUUCAAACAUAAGUGACUAAAAUGUAACCUAAGGCAAACAAAAGUGACUAUUUUGGUAGCUUACCCUUAUAAUAACAUGGCUUUGAAAGCUACCCUAAAAUCAUCCAUUCUUUCAUGUAAUGUGUGGUAGUUGACUCUCACCCCCACCUCGGCUCCAAUCUAUAUUCUCGUUGAAAAUUGCAUUUCGAACAGUGGUAGGCUCUUCAACCGCAACUUGCUCAACCAACUGAGUAGCCUUGGAAAACAAUUGAAGAAAAUUUAUAAUUGAAACUUUAAUCUCAUGUCAUCAAGGAAAAAAAUAAGAAACACAUAUAUACUCAAGGAAUUUAAUUAAAAAUUUUGCAUGUUAUGCCUUUAGUUGUAAUUGUUAUAAUUACAUAGAAUAAAGUAGGAUUAAAGGGUUGUAGGAUAUAUACCUUUGUUUUGCAAUGUACAAAUUCCUGUGAAUCAAUGAAGAAACCAGUAGCCAACUUAGGGCAAUCUCUUACUUCCAACUCUAUCAUUGCUGGGAAUACAAAAUGAUAUCCUUUGGGACAAAAGUGAAUGAGGCCAGGUAGUUUUUCAAGUGAUAACCAUUCUAAUUUAUCAAAUUUCAUCUCCUCUUCAGCUACCACUUCCACUUUUUCUUCUAAUUCGAAUACUUGUUCCAAUUUAGAAUUCCUUGUAACUAUGAGAGUUUCAAGCUUUAGAAGAACAGGAACAAAUCCAAAAGGAAAAAGACUGUUCAAAUUUUUACAGUUUAUAACAAUGAUUCGUUUCAAAUUUGGAAAGCUCAUGGGUUGGAGGCUAGUAUCACCAUUGGAUGAUGAAGAAGAAACUUGAUCCUUGGCUAAAAUGAGUCGUUCUAUUUCCUCACACCACUCGAUGAAAAGAUCCACCAAAUGUGAUAAACUGCGAGCCAUCAUAGGCGAAAAUAUAUAUCUUAGCUUAUUGCAACCACUCAGUGUUAGAGUUGUAAGGUUCUCAAGGGUUACAAUUUGAGCAAAAUCGUUCCAUAUAACCCGCACUUCAAACAAAUUCCUCAAUUCCAAUAAUUUUAUGGUUGAGAACGAGUACCCGCCUUGAACUUGAAAUACUUCUUCUUGAUUCCCAACUACUAUACAACCUUCAUUCAAUACAGGAACAUCAGUGUUGCAUAAUUGGCGGCUAUUUCCCACGUUACUAAGAACCAAAUCCUGCAUACACAGAAAUCCUAAUAAAUGUCAUAAAAACACACUAGAGUAAAUGUUACCCAUAAGUCUUCAUAAUUUUACAUAUUCCAAGUAACAAAAAAUACUACUUCUCUAAUCUCAAUGCUACAUGUAUCUUUGAUUUUUUUAAAGGAUAUAUUUUUUAAAUCUGAACCCCUAAAAUAUCUACCAAAUUAAUUAAACACAAAAGGCCAUUGCUUGAUACAUUUUUAUUUAAAGAGUGAAAAAUGGAAUUCAUUUACAAAUUAUGUAUAAAAGAGGAAUGAAUUAUCACAUGAACUAAGCAACAUAUCGAUUUACUGAUUUGCUAUAGUGCCAAAAUCCAUAUAUAAAAUGCGAACAAUCUAAAUACCUCUAUGAGCUGAGCUUGUAAAAUGAAGCAUGAGAUUUGGGGACAAUUUGACACUUCUAAAUUUUUCAGAAAGGGCACAUUAAGUAGAAUGUGAUCAUCAAUCACAUCCCUUUCUUCUGUCGAACUGAAGACUUGUAGUAGUUGAGGGCAGUUCUUUAGGUAAAUAGAUUCCAACAAUGGAAAUCCCUGAGAUAAAGUGUUUGCAAACAGAUAUUUCAAUAGUUGGCAAUCCUCUAUCCGGAGAGUUUUCAGUUUUGUCCAGCAGUGAUUCUACAUGAAUGAACCACAUAAUUAGAUAUUAUACAAAAUAUAUUUGUUUAAAUAAAAGCGAGAAAUAUGAUUUACCAAAACAUAUGAAAAAGAAAGCAAUUGAUCUUUGAUUUAUCAUAUUUUGGAACUGUGAUACCCCAACCACUUCAAAAUCAUUAAUCAUGACAAUAAAAAAAUAAAAAUACAAUAUUCAUUGUAAUAGUCGAUGAGAGAGAUUGAACUCUGAUGCUCGUUCAACUUUAAAAUCAAAGAAUUAUGAAUACAAUUUUUUUUAGUCCAACAUGAAGUUUUGAAUAAAAAUAUUAAUAUCUAAAAAUGGACUUUGAUAAGUUAUUCUAAUAGUUUUCAGACUAUAGAGGUUAACGCAAUGAUUUGAUCCAUUCCAUAUGCACCUCAAUUCCGAUAAUGAUAUCAAUAUUUAUUAGUUAAAUUUACCAAAAUUCUUGCCAUCAAAUAAUAUUUAUUAGGUAGAACUAACCACUACUCAAAUAAAUUCAUUCUACAAUUAUAUUAAUAUAUAUUUAUACAACACUGUUUUAAUAUCUCACAUAAAUUAUCAAAUUAAAAUAUGGUAGCAUUGCAAAAACAAAUCAUAUUAUGGUAAAUUAAUUUAAUAAUUUUCUAAAAUAUAAUUUAAAUAAUUAUUAUUAUAUUAAAUAAAUAUAUUAAAUCUUAACGUCAAUAGAAAAUAAAUAUAUAAUAAUUCUCUAUUUUAAUUUUUACUAUUUAUAAUUAUACAUGAAUUAUUUUAAAUAUGAAUAUUAUAGUAUAUUAGUAUUUGAUAAUAAAAAUUUAUAAAUUAAUUUGAUAUACUAAUUUUAAAAACAUAUAGUUGUAAUUUAAUUUUUAAAUUAUAACUUUUUAUAUUUUUAAAUAGUUGUUAUAUGGUAUGUGUAUGUUCGAUUUGAUUUAAACUCAAUAAAAAAUUUGAAUUGAACACUACAAUUCAAAUUAAUUUUCAAUUUUUUCAACUCUUUGCUCAGCCUUAAAAAUGUAAAUACAGAAGUACCUGUGAUCCAAGUUCAGGAAGCACAAUAUCUUGUCCAUGCUUAUUUUGUUCCAUGUUGAAGACUUGUAUAAGUUGAGAACAAUGUCUUAUGUAAACAGAUUCCAAGGAUUGAAGCCCUUGAGUCCAAGUGUUUGCACAAACAUAUUUCAAAUUUCGGCAAAAUUCUAUGCGAAGAAUCCUCAAUUUCGGCCAGCAACAAAGAGAAGAGUCAUUCUACAUGUUUCAAACACACAUCUUAGUAAGUUAUUUAUUUUAUUAUUAAUUAAAAUAGAUUAUUAAUUAAAAGAUAAAAUAUAAAAACAUGUAUAUGCUGCUUAGUUUCUUUUAGCAUACCAAUGGUUAGAUGCACAGGGUUUCUACCCAAAAAAGCAACAAGCUAACUCAAAAAAACUAGGGGGUUUUUAGUUGUUUAUAAAACACACAAUCGAAAUAAAUAAAAUUGAAUUUAUUUUUUUAUAAUUAGGAAUGGAGAAUGAAAUUGUUUGAAAUUGAAUUCAAGUAUUCAUGUCUACAAUAUAAUAUUUUUGUUGUUAGACUAAAACAUCAUUAGCAACUUAAAUGCAAAUAUUUAUUUUAAAUUAUAAAAAUAUUAAAGCAUUAUUAUAAAUUAAAUAAAAGAUAGAAUUUCCUUCUAUAUAAAUAAUUACAUUCUUCUAUCAUGUAAAUUGUGUUGAAGUCAAACAAACCUUAUAAGUGGGCAAUCCAUGGGCAAAAGUCAAGGUGGCAUGGAAUUAAUUGAAGGCUUAUCCAUAAAUAAAUAAAAUAAACAUAAAAUGAGAGAGGUGGCAAUUGAUGAGGUGGUUUUUGAGCCUAUAAUAAGGUUUCAUAUAUUUGUGAUAUGAAGAAAAAGAAAGAGUAAGAAAUGAAAGAAAUGAAAGAAAUGUGUGUGAGUUUGUGUGCACAAGAGUGGAAAUAUGCAAAGAGUGAAUUGUGAGUGUAUAACUAGUGGUAACUAGAAAUUGAGAGAGGGGAAAAUAUAUUUGUAUUUUGUGUAAGUGUAUUUGUUUUGAGUAAUAAAAUUUAAUUUCCUUAGUCACUACUUCACUUCCAAUAAGUGGUAUCCAAGUUACAUUGGUGUCCUCAUCACAAGGAGAUGACAAACAUGAUUCAACCAUAGAUAGAAUCACAAACUAAAUCAAAGUCCAUGAUUCAAGGGAUUAUCUUGGACAAUUUCAAAUCAAUUCAAUCUCUAAAAGAUAAUCUCCUAAGUGAUAUGAUCUUCUAUAAUGGUCUAGAUAUCAAUCAUAGACUCAAUCAUACCCCAUAAAAGUCAUUCAAUAAGUUGCCAAUAUAAUAAAUAUGGAAAAGGUUUCCAUAUCGAUUUAGUGCUCUAGGGAAUGAAUACUUCCUUUGACACUAAAAUGUGAGUUUUUUCAACAAUAUUAAAUUGACCUUGUAAGUUAGCAAUCUAAAGGUAGAAUAAAGUGGCAUGGAAUGAAUUAAAUUAAGGCUUUUCUAUAAAUAGAAAAAAUCUAAAUAAAAAUGAGAGACAACAAUUCAUGAUGCAUUUUAUAAGCCUGUAAAUAGGUUUCAUAUAUAUGUGAUAUGUAAAAGCAAGCGUGUGAAAGAGAAGAAAAAGAAAGAGUAUGAAACAAAACAAAGGUGUGUGACUUUGUGUGCGUGAGAAUGGAAAUAAGCAAAGUUUUAAAGAUUUCCUUUAUCAAAACAUAUGAAUAAGAAAUAAAUUGAUCUUCCAACGUAUCAGUUAUAAAGAAAUAUAUUUCGCAACUGUGAUACUCCAACCACUUUAAAAUAAUUAAUUAUGACUAUUAAAAAAUAUAUAUAUUCAUGGUAAUAGCCGAUGAGAGAGAUAGAAUUCUAAUUGCUGAUUAUAAAUAACUUUUAAAAUAAGGUUGAAAUAUUAAUUAUUUUAUGAACAUAAAAAUGAAUUCGAGUCCAAAUACCUGUAAUCCAAAUCCAUCCUUAUUUUUUUCCAUGUUGAAGAUUUGUAUAAGUCGAGGACAAUCUUUUAUAUCAAUAGCUUCCAGGCAGGGAAGUCCUUGACUUGAACACAAAUAUUUCAAGUUUUCACAUCCACUAAUCCUGACAUCUUUCAAUUUUGGCAAGAACAGAGAAGACUGAUCUUUUAUAUUUGACAAAUGUUCUAAAGAGUUGCAAUUCCAAAUCACGAGAUAUUGCAAAUGCACCAAAGGUCCAUUCCACAUGUACUUCAAUUUUGGCAAUGAUCUUAACUCCAAAGAAGUUAAAUUUGUCAGAUAUUCCUGUCAUCCAAUAAUAUUUGUUAGUUUAAUCUAACCACUAAAAUAAAUUGAUUGUACAAUGAUAUACACACUAAUUUUAAUAUCUCACAUAUAUUAUCAAAGCAAAACAAAAAUCAUAAUAAGGUAAAUUAAUUCAAUAAAUUUCUAAAAUAUAAUUAUUAUAUUACAUUAAAACAAAAUAUAAAAAAAACAUAUUAAAGCGUAACAUCAUGAGAAAAUAAAUAUAUACUAUUUCUCUAUUUUAAUUUUUAGUAUACAAAUAAUAAAGAGCGUGUACGUGGCUCUUGAACAAAAGCUACAGGCUGCAUCGGUUUGUUUGAAUACUUAGAAUUUCAAAAAUCAAUAAAUUACAAUUAUAAAAAGUAAUAAUAUGUAAACAUAUAUUCAUUAAAAAUAAAUGAAAGCAUAAAUACUCUAUGAAUUUUAAAAUAUUUAUCAUUAAAAGUACCUGUGAUCCACGUUCAGGAAGCACAAUGUUUUGUUCCAUGUUGUAGAUUUGUAUAAGUUGAUGACAUUUCACUAUGAAGACAGAUUCCAAGGAUUGAAUCAAAGUGUUUGUAGAAAUAUAUUUCAAACUUUCACAAUCUUUUAUGCGAAGAACUCUCAAUUUCGGCCAGCAAUAAAGAAGACAAUCAUUCUGCAUGUUUCAAACACGUUUUAGUAAGUUAUUUAUUUUAAAUUUCAUAUAGAAUCACAACUCAAAUCAAAGUGAUCCAAAAUAUUGUCUUGGGCAAUUUUGAAUCAAUCAAAUCUUUAAAAGAUAAUAUUUCAAAUGACAUGAUCUUCUAUAAUGGGCUAAAAAUCAACCAUAGACUCAGUCAUAGCCCAUAAAAGUCAUUCAAUGAGUUGUCAAUAUAAUAAAUAUGGAGAUUAUCUCUAUAUUGAUUUGGUGCUCUAGGGAGUAGGCACUCGCUCUAACACCAAAAUGCUAGUUUCAUAUUUUUCAAUAAUAUCAAACCGGCCUUGUAAGUUAGCAAUCCAAGGAUAGAAGAAAGGUGGCAUGGAAUUAAUUGAAGGCUUUUCUAUAAAGAAAUAAAAUCUAAAUAAAAAGGAGAGACACAACAAUUUAUGAUGCAGUUUAUAAGCCUAUAAAUAGAUUUAAUAUAUUUGUGAUAUGUAUAAGCGAGCUUGUGGAUAGAAGAAAAAGGAAGCGUUUGAAACAAAACAAAGGUGUGUGACUUUGUGUGCAUGAAAGUGGAAAUAAGCAAAGAGUGAAUUGUGUGUAUAACUAGUUGUAGGUAGUAAUUGAAAGGAAGAAGAAAAUAUAUUUGUAUUUUGCAUUGGUGUAUUUGUUUUGAGUAAUAAAAGUUACUUUUAAUUUCUUUAGUGGCCACUACGCUUCCAACAAACCCGAUACACAUAAAUAACAUAAAAAUAAAUACCAAACCAAGCACUUCACUUCAAAUUGGUUUUUGGUUUUCUUGCAAUUUGUUUCAUCCUUAAAAGAAUACUAUCAUAAAGCUAAAACAAUUAAGAAGAUUAAAAAAAUUGGAGAGAAUAGGUAUCCCUACCUCAAUAAUCUCGUCUUCUUGGCCAAAACCAAUGACUUGCUCUAGUCGAUCGCAGUAGCUUAUAUAAAGUUGUUGUAGAUGCAACAUACUUAAAGCUAGGCAAGGUGAGAAGAUUGUUUUCAGAUUAUCACAAGAUUCAAUGCUCACAACCUUUAGACUUUGGAGGCUUGCAAUUGCACGAUGGGAUGGCUUUACUUCCCAUAUCCUCUUCAAUUUCGGCAAUGAAUGUAGCCUCAAUAUUGUUAAAUUUGAGAGCAAUGGUGUCUGACAUUUCAUUUUUUCAGAAAGUUUAUCUAUUUGAAAUAUCACUUGUAACUCCUCACAAUCUUUAAUGAUCACUUCCUUAAGGUUUUGCAAGAACCUAGUCGGAGAAACACCAUAGCACAACCCUUUCAAAGAAGCCAUGCUUUCGAUAAUUAAUUCCACCAAAUUAGAGAAUGCAACAGUUGACCCUUGAUCCUUUUUUGUAUCAAUCAAGAAUUCCAUAUCAUUGCAAGAUUUGAGCUGCAGAGAAGUCAACUCAUUUACUCCCAUUUCAUCCAUGCUUGGCACAAUAUUCUUUUGUCCACCAACAUUCCUCAAACUCAACGCUUCCACAUUGCAAAAUAAAUUGUUAAAUGCACUUAAUGAAGAUGAGAAAUCUUGAAUAGCCAAUCUUCUAAACGCCUCCUGAUCGCUACUAUAAUAUUCUCCAACUAUAUCGUACCUUUGUAGUUUAGGGAACAUAAAAUCUUCUAGAGGAAUUUGAUUAGCAGAAAGUCUCAGUGAUAGUGCAGUUAAACGAGACAAUGACUUCAACUCCAAUAAGUUGAGAUUAUUUUUGGGUAUGACAUGUAACUCUUGUAGUGAAGUCAACCUAUUAUAUUCAUAAACAAAGUAGCAUUAAUUGAAAAUUUAUGUGACACAAUCCACAUUCCAUGAGGUUAAAAAAAAAAAUUGUAAUUCCUUAAAGUAAGUCAUAAAAAAGAAAUAUGUAAAAAAAAGUCAAAAACUUGAAAUAAAUCAAGAUAAGUAAUAAAAGGACACUAUUAAAAUUAAAUUAAAAAAUCUCUAAAUUUUUUUUAUCACUUUCAAAGAAAUUUUCAAGAGGUUAAUUUUUUUUUUCUUUUUAACAAUUUAUCUCAAAAUUUCUGGGUCUAAAACAUAAGUAAAUUUUCUGUUUUUUUUUAUAAUAACUUUUUUCACUCUCAAAUUUUAUAAGAAAGUCAUUUUACCCUUAUAUUUAAAAGUCAUUUUACCCUUCUAUUUAAAUUUUAACCUUUUAUAACCCUUAAAUUUGUGAUUUUUUUGUCAAAUCAUCUCAAAAUGAAUAGAAAAGUUGAUGUUUUAAAAUUUUACUGAUGUUGAUAUACGUGGAUUGACACAUGAAUAACACAUUAUUCAUAAUAUAUAUAUAUAUAUAUAUACAUAUCUAAUAGUAAAAAAAAUUGAGUAUUUAUCUUGAUUUUUUAUUAAAAUUUAAAGUCUUUAUUUUAUUAAACUUCCUUAAUUAAUUUUUAUUUAAUAUUAUAUAUAUUUUUAUAUUUACUUUAAUAUAUAUAUAUUUAUAUAUAUAUAUGUAUAUACAUAUAUAACACUUAAUUAUAGCUAAUAAAAUUUGUUAUUUUCCUUGGCAACCCACAUAUCUAUCCACAUAUACUUCAAACAUUACAUUAUUUGUCUUAUAUGAAUAAUUUUAAAUUUAUAAAAAUAUUCAAAAAAUAAAAAAAUUGAAAUUCAAAAAAAUAAAAAAAUCAUAAAAUUAAAAAAAUAUAGCAUGAAGUAUGGAUUGGAAUGUGGGUGUUCAUGUUUAAAAACUUAACAUUUUAGUUAGUAUUUCCGUUAAAAAAUAAUUCAGCAUUUUUUAAAAGGUUGAUGCUCCUUUUUAAAUGUCCAUAAUCAAAUUUAAUUAAAAACCGAAUAAGGACUAAAUUGAUAAAUGAUGUUAAAAUUAGUAUUGUAAAAUUAAAAAUACCAAUUAAAGUAAUUAAGAGGAAAAUAAAUUAUGUCAAACAAAAUACCAAUAUGAUAAAAAGAAAAUUAAAUCUGAUGCACUCUUACCUUGAUACCAAGUUUGGGGGGAUAUUCAUUUCUCUUUCAACUCCAACACCAGAAAGACGUAAAUAUUUCAGUGCAGACAACUUCACUAAUUCUUCACUUAUCUCAUCAAUUUCAGUGGCAAUCAAUGCAAGAAUCUCAAGGCUUCUCAUAUUUGUCAGAGAUGAUGAGAAGUUUUUCAGCAUGCAAUCAUAACACCUCAAAGUUUUAAGAUUUGGUAAGGAAGGGAAUCCUUUCAGUGAGAAGCUGACACGUUUGAGAAGUAAAACUUGGAGGGCUUUCAUUUCUUCAAAAAAUGUACCCAAAACCACUAAGAAAUCAUCUCGGUUCCUCUUCCUCUCGCCCUCUAAAAACAAAGUUUUGAGCUUUGAAAAUUCCACUUUAUCAGGAAAAAUAUUUAUGAUACUACUACAAUUCCAUAAAGCGAUUGCAGUAUAACUUUCAUCCAUAUGAGGCCAUUCUUUCAACGUAUCUUUUACCAUGAACCUAUUUUCUCCCGUUGAUGUUAGCCAAUGAGCAAAAUCUCGAAUCACAUCAUGGAUUCUAAUCGUAUCUGCACCAUCAGUUUCCAAUAACAAGCCAGAUUUUUGGAGUUUUUUAGUGCUUCAACAAUUUUCUUCCUUUUAUCUUCAAUCGAGUAAAAAUUAGGGAACAAUCCUACUCCAAUUCCGCACAUAAUCAAUAUCUCAGUAUCGAUUUCUUCAUCUUCAGGAAAAAGGGAACACAGUAAGAAACAAAUUUGGAUGUCAUUUAUUCCCGUCAUUUGGUUAAUGCCUUUCUUCAAGUAAUCGUAGCUAAGCUUAAGAGGCUCGAGGACACCCCCGAGGACUUCUUCAUCAUACAAAUGCGUUGAGUCCUUGAAUCUCUGAUUUGCGUCUCUCCACCCAUUUAAACUCUCACCUUUUAAAGCUUUGGCCACGACAACAAUUGCAAGAGGCAAUCCCUUACAUUCAGCAGCAACCUCUUUGGCUACAUCAUUCAACGUGGAACAAUCAUCUUCUAAACCAGCUUUAUCUCGAAAUAAAACCCAUGCUUCGUCUUUGGAUAAGAUGCCAAGUUGAAUUUCCUUCUGACACUUCAUUUUACUGCAGACUUGUUGUUGACGUGUAGUCAGAAGAAUUUUGCAACCCUUGUGGUCAUCACCGAAUGGAAUUCCGAUAUCCUCUAAUUUGAAUUCUUCCCAGAGGUCGUCGACAAUUACAAGGAUUUUUUUCACGCGUUGCAUACUCCUGAAUAGCUCUUCUGCUUUUCCUUCUUGGCUACUUGUUUCAAAUUUUAAACCAAAAAUAUCUGCAACUUUAUCUUGAAUUUUGUUGAUGUCUGCAUUUUGGGACAUAGUAAACAUCACAACUUUAUCAAAGAACUUUUGUUCUCGAGCAUGCUUCCCAACUUCUUUGGCUAAAGUUGUUUUACCAACUCCUGGCAUUCCUUGCAGUCCGAUCAUGUUGACACCCUUAGCAUUUAUAGCCUCCAUGAUCUGGUUGAAAGCUGAUUUUGAAGAUUUAGAGUGCAUGAAAUCAGUGGAUCUGAUGAAUUCUAUUCCUUGAAGAGGACGACGAUAGCCCACCUGUGCAAAGUUAGAAGUCUCUAAAAGUUUAGAGAUAAUAGGAAUCUUCUCUGCCAGUUUCUUACUUAAGGAAUAUCGCCAGCCCCAUUUAGGACACCAUUUGAAACACUUGACGCGAUCUAUUUCAUCUUUCAAGUUCUGGGUUUCUUUCAGUUCUUUCUCAGCGCUUGUAAGCCAGUUGUCAACGUCCUUAUGGAUGAGCUCAUUUUGCCUUUCAGCCUCAUCGACACGAAUUUUCACCCUCUCUUUCUUCAAUUCAAGUGCUUCUCGUUGAUUCUUGAAAUCUUCAACAAUCUCUCCAUAACGGAAAAAGUAACGGAGAUAGGGUGAUGCGUAUUCCUUUGCCUGGUCUGCCACAAUUUCGACAGCAGCAGGGGCAGCAUAUUCGGCCAUUUUUGUUGAUAGUCUGAUGAGGUUGAACAAAAACAUUGGUUAUUAGUAAGAAUUAACAUAAAGAGAAAUAAAAGCAAUUGUGACAAAUAAAAUCAGUAUUUGUAGUAAAAAAUCGAGUGGAAGCUACCAAAUAAGAAGCUGUAAAUAUUGAUGUAAAGCAAAGAUGUUAUUAUUGAAGAAGGUAGAAAAUACCUCUGUUUCUGUCUGAGAAUACCAGAAAGUAAAUAGAGCUUGAGAGAAAUAAGUAGCUGUAAAAGAUGAAAAGAAUUGAUUUAGUGCAGGUAAUAGAAAAAUAAUAAUAAAAAAAUUGAGAGCAUGUUUUAACCUUACAUGCACACUCAAUCGUAAUUACUCUUCCCAUUUUAUUCAUUCUAAAUCGGAGCUAUAAUUUGUAUGUGAAAUCCUAAAAACAAUUUCUCAUAAAGAAAUCCUAAAAAGAAUUACAUUCUCUUAAACAUAUUUUAUAUUUAUUUCUACAUUUUGGAUUAUAGAUUGGAUGCUUUUAAGUUCCUAUAGAAUUAGAGUUUGUGUGCUCUCUAAAAUGUUUAAUGGAAAAAACGACACAAGACUAAUGAAUGGAGAAAGGACACUCUUCAUUUGCCCCUUUCCUGUUUGAUCAGCAUGUUAUACACUUCAACUCUGAGUAAAAUCCGAUUCGAUUCGAAAAUUUUGAUUUAACUAGUUCGAGUUAUUUGUGUUAAUUAAUUUUUUGGAUAAACUCGAAUUGACUUGAAUAUGAAUUACCCAAUUCGAGUUAUUCGAAAAUCCGAAUUAGAAAAUGUAAAACUAUAUCGUUUUGAUAAAUGUGUACCUUUCUAAAGUUAAAUUCAAAACCAUUAAGUUAUAAGGCAAAAUUACGUCAUUUUGAUAAAUAUUUACUCAUUAAGUUAAGAGGUAAAACCAUUAUAUUAUUUAUGUAGUUAAAUAAUAUUGUAAUUCGUCUGUUAGUUAAACAAUCGGUCCAUGUAAAUGCAACAUUGAAUAUAAAUAAUAGGAUUGGUUAAUUCGACUCAACUUGACUCGAAAGUUUUUACUCGAUUUGAUUUGGUUAAAAAAAAUCAAAUUGAGUUUAGUUGCUAAGAUAAAUUCAUCAACUCGACUAACUCAAAAUUUUUCGAUUCGACUCAACUUAAUCAAAUACUCACCCUAAAUCCAAGGUUCUUGUUCUAGUUUGUUCAAUCUUUAAAAUGAAUAUAUAAUCUCUUUAAUUAAGACGGAACUUGUAUGAAACCUUUCUUUAUGAAAAAUAAAAUCACAAGUGAUUUAAAAUGAAAGGGAGAUCCACUCAACAAAAACAUGAAAAUAUAUAGCAAUGAGGAGCAGUUCCUCAAAACUUACCUUCACUCAACUAUCCUCUGCGCUGUUUCUUUUGCCAAGUCGAAAUCAAGGUAUGAAGAAAGUUUGGUUUUCAGAAAUAAAAGACAGUUUGCAGGAUUUUUUUUUUUGUUUUUUUUCCCUUAAUUGAGACAAUACAAGAAAAUGUGAAAACUGAAAAACAAAUAGUGGAAAUUAUCACACACACAGAUUUUUUUUUUUUUUUUGGUGAUGAUCACAGACACAGAUUUCAGAAUAUGGAAGCAAAAAAGGAAAUGAUGAGAAACACAGGUUAAUUUGAGAAUUAGAAAGCCAAAAACAAAGAGUGGAAAUGAUCAAACUUGGAAGCAAAGACCACUUUGGAUGAGGAAGAAGAAUGGGAAGUCGUUGGUUUAACUUUCAAAUGUUUUUCUACUUUUUUUAUUUAAAUUCAUAAAACAAAGUAUUGUUCAUCAUUCUUUUCUUUAUUAUAAUAAAAUAAUCAUUAUUUUUAUUACCAUUAAAGUCAAUGUCUUUGUUAAUGUAAAAUUCCAUUUUUUAUAUUUUUAUAUUUUAGUAAAAAUAUUAUUUAUUUUUAUUUAUUUUAAUUAUUAACUUAUAUUUUUUCUAUUCGAUUCUACUCGAUAAUCGAUCUAAGACUAAGAAAUUAAAAUUUUUGUUCUCGAAAAGCCAACAAUGGUGGUUAAGGCAUGUGAUUAGAGCAGAACAAAUAAUUCCCUCAAAUAAUUGAAGAAAAGGAUGACGGAUGAUUGAUUACUAAGAGUCGUCACCACUUUUGCUAGUGGGAUAGGUCUUGUCAAUGAAUUAUUGCCUUUGUAAUUAUCAAGUUUGCUCACCACUUUCGCUAGUGGGACAGGCAUUGUUGACGAAUUACUUUUUACUAUUUUUACCUUACCUGCUUCCUUUGCUUACUUAUUAUCGUGUAUAAAUAGAAUAUAUAAGUAUUAGCAUUAAAUGAUUUAUUAUAUGAAUUAGGAAAAGAAAAAAAACUUCUCUUCUACAGAUAUAGAUAAAAAUACAAAAAAAGAAAAAGAAAAUACAGAUAUAGAUAAGAAUUUUAUUUUUUUAACACGGUUAACCAUUAGACAAGGUGAUACAUUAAAUAGGAUAACUUGACUUAAAAAAUUUAAUAAAUACUAUUUAAUCAUGAUUGAAAUUUUAAAAUUUAAAAAAUUAAGGACAAAAUUUAAUUAAAUUAAAAUAUAAAAAUUAAAUAUACAAGUUGCACAUAAUACAAAAAUGGAUAAUAAAAUUUAAUUGUUUAAAUUAUAGAUAGAAUUUCAUCAAGUCUUACGUUUUAAAACUUGUGAGAGUUAUUUUAUUCAAAAAUAUCAUUAAUUAGUGGAAGAAGAAGACAUUUUAUUUGGAGUUAUUGGUUUCACUUUUUUAUGUUUAUUUAUUUUAUUUUUAUUUUUAGAAUAAAACAAUUAUCGAAAAAGAAAAUAUUGUUUAGGUAGUAAUUUGUGGGUUAAGUUGUUUUUUAAAUAGACUUAAUGGUUUGACUAAUGGAGAUAAUAAUUUUAAAAAAUAAUUUAUGUACCACUUGUGAUAAAAAAAUGUUUAAGCACGAAGAUGAAAAAAAUGGCAUAAUCUAAGUAUUAGUUUGUAGGUUAAACCAAUGUUGUGCAUAGAGAAAAUAUUAAGAAAAUAUUUUUCUUUAUUUUAUUUUAUUUUUAGAAAAAAAGGAAGCUUUUUAAAUCUCAAAAUUUUUUAAAAAAUCAGAAAAUUAUAUAUAUAAUUAUAUAAAAUUUACAGAAACUUUAAUAAUAUAUAUUUUUUGGAAAAAUAUAUAAUAGAGAGAAAAUACAAAGAAAAUGUAAGGAGAAAUCUAAAAUAUUCUGAUAGUUAAGAUAUUUGUAUAAAACAAUGCAACCUUCCAUAUAUAUCUCUCAAAAAAAUUCUGAUUUUUUUUUUCGUUCCUUGUAUGGAAUAGUUAGGUCACAUUAUUCGUACGGAAAUAGAUGUUGGUAGGUGGAAUUCAAUUUGACUAUCAAGAUCCGGUUCAAUCAUUUUCGGCAAAGCGAAGGUGGAACAAGUUUAUUAGUUAAAAGGAAUUCUGAAGCAGUUUUGUGAUUUUUCUGGGAAUAAAAUUAGUGCAAGGAAAAGUAAUAUGUAUCUUUCCAAAGUAGUUGAGACUGAUUUGUGUGUUCAGAUUAGCCAGAUAUUUGGGUUUCAGAAAUUUCUUAAUCUUGGGAUCUACUUUGGGGUGCCCCUCCUUUAUGACCGAGUUAAAGAAGAUAGUAAGGCAGUAUAUAUGGAGUUGUUCUGCUGGACAGCCAAAACUUGUUGUGGUGAGGUGGGAGUCCAUCUAUCAGCUAAGGUCUCAAGGUGGUCUUAGAUUUCGGCAUCUCAAGGAUCAAAAUAAUUCCUUUCUUAUGAAGGUUGGUUUCAAUUUGGUCACCAUGGAGGAUGCUUUAUGGGUUCGAGUCCUUCGUUUAAAAUAUGGAUGGAACAGUCACAUUCCGGAAUCCAUUUCCAGAAGCCAAAGCUUACACCUAUGGCACUCCCUUUCUAAGGUUUGGCCUCUAUUUCAUGAGAAUCUAAUUUGGUCUGUUGGUAAUGGUUCUAGUAUUCAUUGUUGGAAGGAUUCUUGGGUACGUACCGGGAAGUGGUCCUACUAUCAUAUGUUCCACUUCGUACAAGACUAGAUUUGAAGUGCACUCUGAGAGAUCGGGUAUUUAUUGAUGGUUCAUAGAACUUGGAUUUGUUUCGUACGUAUUUGACUGCCCGAAAAGGUGAUUAAGCUUAUAGUGAGUAUCCCCCCACAUUCUACUAGUGGGGAGGAUAGGGUCAUCUAGGCUUGUUCAGGGUCAGGGUCUUUCUUUGUUCACAAUGAUUAUUGGGCCUUAAAAGAAGACUUUUGGAACCCCAAAGAAGACAGUUGGAAGGAUACUUGAAAAUAUCAAGGCCCCCAAAGAGUCCACUUUUUUCCUUCAGCUAGUAUCUAAACAAAGACUUCUUACUAAUUCAGACCAUACUAGGAAAUGAAUGGGCACACCAACUAUUGUCUUUUAUGUGGCCAUGAUACAGAGGAUAUUCUAUAUGUUCUUCAAGACUGUACGACAGCAAAGGAAGUAUUGAUGCAUGUGGUUCCAUCUAAGAGAUAACACAGAUUCUUUUCUGAUCCUUUUCAAAUUUGGUUUUCCUCUAAUCUAUAUUGUCAUUUUAAUAUGCAAGAUAGCGGAGUUACUUGGUCAUGUCUAUUCAGUUUAAUUGCAUGGAGAAUUUGGAAUAACAAAAAUUUAUUCAUCUUCCAAAAUAUUACUUGAACGACUUAUGAAAUUGUCAAAGUCUCGUUAAGUUGGGCACAAUAGUUUGAACCUUUUCUUAACAGUUCCCAAGCUAAUCCUCUUAAUUCGGUAUUCCACUCACACUAUGAAGGAAAUUGGGUACAUCUAUUCUCUGAUGGAGCAGUGGCCAGAGAUUUCAGGAAUGCUUCCGUUGGCAGGAUGGUUCGUGAUCAGUUUGAAAAUUGGAUAUUGGGCUUUAAUCACUAUCUAGGCAUAUGCUCACCUCUUGAGGUAGAAUUUUGUGGUAUUCUAGAUGGACUCCUCGUUUUAUUAAAUAAGAGAUACAAGAGAGCCACAAUUCAGACAAAUAAUCUGAAGGUGGUUAAAGUUUUGACCAUGAAGGAGUACUCAAUGUACUCAGGUAUUACCUUACUCAUAAGGAUUCAAUGACUUAUGCAUUACGAAGAACAAUGGGAGAUCAGAUACGUACCUAGGAAUUGCAAUUUAAUUAUAGAUCAACUGGUAAAAAUUAGCCUUACAUGAUAGGCAAGCUUACAGAUCUUUGAAGUGCCUCUAGACACUGUGUCUAUGAAUCUUCAACAAGACAAAGCAUUUAGCGUUUCUUAGUAGUUGAUUUGAUGUAAUUUUGUUUUAUUUUCCACAAAAAAUAUGUAUACUUUUAAAUUUUUUGGAAAGUUUUUAAAACUUUCCAUAUUUUUUUUGUUAUUUCUUAAAAUUUUUUUAAAUUUUUUUUUUGAUUUUUUGAAAUUCUUUUGUAUUUUUAUCUAUUUCUUUUAGAUGAGAAGAAUAUUUUUUAAAAUUUUUGGGGAAUUUUAUAUGACUCUCCAUAAUCUUUAGAUUUGUGAAUUUUUUUUAUUUUGUUUGAUUUUUUGUAUUUUCACUUUUUUUUGGUAUUUUAUGUAUUUAAAAAAAUAAAAGUAAAUAGUUUUUUUAGUUAUAGGGAAUUUGUUAUAAAUUUGUAUAUUUUUAUUUUUUUAAGAAAAUUGAGAAUUUUCUCAAAUUUUUAUUUCUUUUUUUCCCCUUUUUCAUUUUUAAAUUUAUUUAGGAAAAUAAGAAUUAGGAGAUGUGACAUGCUAAGAGUGUGCCACAUCAUUUUCUUAAUGCUAUUAACAACUGGGGCAAAGUGAUACAUAGAUGGAAACUUCAAGUAUCAAACUAAUACAAAAAAUUCUUUAGAUACCAAAAUGAUAAUUGAGUGAAACUUUGGGGAGCAAAUAGUGCAUUAACUAUUUUAGAAUAGGAUAACUUAACCUAAUGAUUAUCUGAAAUACCUAAAAUUCAAGAUUUUCCGUUAUUGAAUUUCACUCAAAAUCAAAUAUCAAUCAUUCUUAAUCAAACCUUGAUUUGAAUAUAACUUAAUUUUGAAACUAAAAUUGGAUCUAACUAACCAAUAUAAAAAACCAUAUCAUUAAUCAAAUUUAAACAUAAAUUGAAUUCUUUAUAUUUACAACAAUUUUUUUCUAUUUCCAAACUUUUACACAAUCAUGUAGAUUAUUCCUUUUCUUUCUUUUAUUUUCUGACGAAUAAAAUUAAGCAAACGAUAAAAUUGAUUUAAACCUUCUUGGAUAUUCCCAAACAAGCUUGAUUGGAAGUAGACAUAGAUGAACCGAAGAGAGAAAGGGAGCAUGGAACCAAACUGGUUUGGAUAAAGUUGAUGGUAAGUUUAGUAUAGUGGUUGAUUUAGUCAUUGAGAAUGUAGAGCUCGUUUGAAGAAUUUGUGAAACAAUGUAAUUUCAAGAGGGAGAGAAUGUUGUAGGUCAGAUAGAUAAUAUGGUCAUUGAGAGAUCCAAAUUGAUUCGUUAAAGUGGUGAUGGACAAUAAGGGUUUGUAAUUGUGGGGUGAGAAUAUGCGAAGCAAGUUUUAUUUUGGUUUCAGCUUUCACAUGUUCUUUUUUCAUAAACAUAAAAAAAAUUAACAAAUGAAAAAUAUAGAAAAACUACGUUAAAAGAGAUGGAGAAGGGAGAAAUUCGAAGGGAGAAGCAAAAGGGAAUGAAAAAUAAAGAAAAAAAAGUUGAAAGAGCAUAAAAGAAAAAAUUAAAUUGUUUAAAAUAAAAAAAUAUGGUGACCAAUUGUAUAAUUUAAUCUAAAAUUUUUGUUUGAAAUGAAAAUUUAACGUGCCAUGUCAGCUUACCGUUACACCAUUAACGGUAAUUAAUGGCUUAGUGACUAAAAUGUUACAAUGCGUUAACGUAAAUGACUCAAAAGUAACAUUUCAAACAUAAGUGACUAAAAUGUAACCCGAGGUAAAUAAAAGUGACGAUUUUAAUAGUUUACUCAUAAAUUUAACAAUGUUAAUAAUUGUAUUUUAAUUUUGAAAUUUGAAAAGUAGGAUUAAAUUCCUAAAAUAAAAGUACACGGAGUCAAUUUCAAAUUUGGAAUGAGUACAAGAACUUGACAUAUUUUAAUCUGAUUGAAAGUUACCAAGACUUAUUGGAAAUAAUGGUUAAAGCUUUUGUCUAAUACUUAGAUAACGCGAAUUGAAACCUUAUUAUCCCCUCCUCAUCCCUAAUAUUGUAACUAGAGGUUAACCCAGGGGGGCUGGCAAGGCCCCCAGCUCCCCUUAAAAUGGUAAAUUGUUGUUUUGGCUCUUUAGAAAAUUUUAAAAUUUUAAAAUUUUAAAAUAAUAAAGGUAAAAUUACACUUUGGCCCCCUAAAAUUAUGAAAAUUUAAUUUAAUUCUUUAAAAAUUAUAAAGAUAUAGACUAUUAAAAAUUAAAAUUUCAUUUCGGCCCCUAAAAUCUUUUUUUAGCUUCACCCCUAAUUGUAAAAAAAAAUUUUAAAUUGAAAUUAUUACUUAAUAAUUAAGAAUUAUAUUUUUACAUGAUAUUCCUCAAUUAUAAAUAAUAUUAAGAUACAUGUUUUAAACAUGCUGAACCACUAUGCUUUGUGCUUGCCAAACUUGAAAACCAGAAAUUUUCCUCAAUUGAGAUGUUUUAUUGUAACCCAAGUAUUUAGUUCAUUGACACUUAACUAUAUUUUUCCCUUAAUCAUUUAAUUUUUCGAAAUUGAAUUUUAGUCACUUUUUCUUUAAUUGUCUAAUGGAAGUCUAACAUGAGUUUUGUUUUAUUAGUUUAAUAAUAAAUUUAGGCAUUUAUAAUUUACACAUUUAAUCAAUUUGAUCUCAAAUCUAAAAUAAAUUCAGUCUUCAAUAUUUUCAAGAUUUAUCAUUCUAAACUUAAUUAUAAAAACUAUAAAAAAUAAAAAUCUUAAAAAAAUAAAAAGAAAAUAUAAAUUUGUGAUUUGAAUAUUAAAAUUUGAUUGAAUAUUCAUGAUUUGAAUUAAAACAAUUUUUGAUUUCUUUUAUCAUUUAUAUUUGGACUCUUAAGAAUAUUAAAACUAGAAAUAUAUAAGAUUUAUAUAACAAAAAUAGAUAAUGUUAGAUUAUGUGAUCCGAAUUUCGCCAUUUGUUAAAGAAAUAAAAGUAAGAUAAAAUAUACCAAAGUUGCAAAUAUGCAAUAGAAGAACAUAGUAGAUUUAAUUACCAGCACAAAGUUCUAAUUUACGGAUUUACAAAGGGAAUAGUGGUUUAUGUUUAAUAGAAAUUACAAACACACUAUAUAACAUAUUAUUCUUAAAGUCGAGUUUUCUUAGGAGAAAUCAAGUCCUGAAAAUACACAAUACAAUAUGAAUAAAGGAGAGUAGUUGCACUUUGCCUACAAUAAGCCGCUCGAUUCCAUUGAUAUUAUGGCACCUUAGGUACCUAUAAAAUUUGAAAACAAGGAUUUAUCAAAAACGUAGUGGAAUUCAAUGUGUUUUAAGUAAUGUAAUGAUUGGUUUUUUAAGAAUACCUGCGGAUUUAGCAUCAUAUAACGUUUGGUAAGAAGCUUGCAUCUAAUAGAACAAAGCUUGGAAACAACAUCAAUCAUGUCUAUCCUCAAACUUGGUGAAUCUGCAGAACAAAUUUCAUAAAUUUUUUAUCCGAUAUUGAUCUUUCAAAUCAAUUAGUUAAUCUUUCACGGUUCUUGAAAAAUAUUUCGUUAAUAUACAAAUGUUAACUCUUGUAUAAUUGCCGUUUGAAGGAACCAAUUUAGGGAUCCUAGAUCAGAUUUGAACGUGAAGGACAUCGCUCAAGAUCUAGACGAAUCGGGGAAAAAUCGUGCCUAUGAUAGCACCACACAGUCUUCCACACAAGUUUGUGGGUCACACGGCCCCUCACACGACCAUGUCCCCCUAAAACCCAAAAAUCUUAGAUUCUCACAUAGCCUAGGACCCUUCAUAUAUGACUAUGUCUCCCUUGCACCCUGGUUUUGCAUGACCCACACAGCCACAGUCUAUCACACGAUAGUGUAACCCCUUCGCAUUGUUGAAGGCAUUGCACACGGCCAUGUGCCCCUAUUUUAAAUUUUUACCUAGAAUUUUACGAUAGAAUUUUUUUUGGCUUGCCCCCGAUUGUAACAAAAAAGAAUUUUAAUUCUUAAUUAUUACUUAAUAAUUAAGAAUUAUAUUUUUACAUGAUUUUCCCCCAUUAUAAAUAAUAUUAAGGUAUAUGUUUUAAACAUGUUGAACCACUAUGCUUUGCGCUGGCCAAAGUUGAAAAACAGAAAUUGUCCUCAAUUGAGAUGUUUUAUUGUAACCCAACUAUUUAGUUCAUUGACACCUAACUAUUAAUUUUUUUUCUUAACCAUUUAAUUUUUCGAAAUUGAAUUUUAGUCACUUUUUCUUUAAUUGUCUAACGGAAGUCUAACAUGAGUUUUGUUUUAUUAGUUUAAUAAUAAAUUUAGACAUUUAAUAUUUACACAUUUAAUCAAUUUGAUCUCAAAUCUAAAAUAAGUUCAAUCCUCAAUAUUUACGAGAUUGAUCAUUCUAAUCUUAAUUAUAAAAAGUAUAAAAAAUAAAAAUCUUAAAAAAAUAAAAAGAAAAUAUAAAUUUGUGAUUUGAAUAUUAAAAUUUGAUUGAAUAUUCAUGAUUUGAAUUAAAACAAUUUUUGAUUUUUGAUUUCUUUUAUCAUUUAUAUUUGGACUCUUAAGAAUAUUAAAACUAGAAAUAUAUAAGUUUUAUAUAAUAAAUAUAGAUUAGAUUAUGUGAUCCGAAUUUCGUCAUUUGUAUUUGGGAAGCGUCAUCCUUAUGAGUUAAUUGUUUUACACUUCUUACUUGGUGUAGCUUCUUACAUGGGCCGUGAGUGGGAACUUAGUUUUCGUUUGGGUAUGCGGCCUUGGAUCACUAUUGCAUAUUCAACUCCUGUUGCAGCUACUACCACCGUUUUCUUGAUCUAACAUGUGAAACAGAUACAGACAUUGCUUAGAGGUCCAAGGUUUAAAUCACACCUCUCUCAUUUUUCCUUUUUAAAUUUAUUAAGAAAUGGGUAGCAAUCCAAUGGUUAAACACUUAUUCCUCUCCCAUGCAGCCUCUUCAUAUUUGAAAACUCUAGCUAUUUAGUCCCCUUUUCCCUAAUUACACUAGGAUUAUGUUUUUUUUUUGUUCCAAUUAGAAUUUCUCUUCUCUCUCCCUAUUUCUUCUCAUAUUUCUUUUCCAUCGUCAUCUUUGCAUCAAAUUUUCUCUCCAUUGCUGAAACUAUUUUUGCUCUCGAUGUCAAAUCAAUCCCCGAUAAUUCGAUUCUCUAUCGAUUGUUGAAUUCAUCGUUGAUAGCUUCCAUAAUUCCAUCAAGUACGGUAAGUGCCUCUCAAUCUAAAGUUUAGGACCCCAAAUUUCAUAAAUUUUUUAUUCGAUAUUGAUCUUACAAAUCAAUUAGUCAAUAUUUCACGGUUCCAAAAAAAUCUUUCGUUAAUAUACAAAUGUUAACUCUUGUAUAAUUGUUGUUUGAAGGACCCAAUUUAGGGAUCUUGGAUCAGAUUUGAACGUGAGGGACAUCGCUCAGGAUCUCAAUGAAUCGGGGAAAAAUCGUGCCUAUGAUAGCACCACACAGUCUUUGACACAAGUUUGUGGGUCACACGGCCCCUCACACGACCAUGUCCCCCUGAAACCCAAGGAUCUUAGAUUCUCACAUGGUCUAGGACCCUUCAUAUGACUGUCUCUCCCUUGCACCCUAAUUUUGCAUGAUCCACACGGUCACAGUCUGGCACUUAAUAGUGUAACCCCUUCGCAUGGCUGAAGGCAUUGCACACGACCAUGUGUCCCUAUUUUAAAAUUAUACCUAAAAUUUUAUGAUUUGUUCAGUUUAGUCCCUGAAUCAUUUUUGAAUUAUUUUUUAGAGUUUUAUUUUUUUUCGAUUAAGUCCCUAAUAACAUGGAAAAUGCUAGAAUCCAUGACAUGAUUGACUAAAUUAAUAUUAUAUAUAAUUAUCUGGAUUGUGAAUGAUAUAUAUGUUUAUUACAUAAACAGAGCCAUGUUGUGCUCUAUCUAUAAGUAUAAACAGAUAAUCAAAAUAAAUUUCACUUCUUCUUGAAUGAUUUGAUUAUAUAGAGAGUGACAUUCUUUAGAUCUUAUGCAUGUUUUGAGUUAUAUAUAAGAAUGGAUGUGAUAUUAUAUAUGUGUUAUAAAUUGUUUUUUAUUGUCAAGGUUGUGGUUCUUAGGAAAUAGACUGUGGACUAUCAUCUCCAUGUAAGGCUAUUUUUUUAAAAUUCAUAGAAUUCUUGUGAAUCGAAAACGGACAUAAGACUUAAAUCACUACAAGAAAUUAAGCUUUUAGAGGCGUUUUUAGUGGCGUUUGGACCAAAAACACCGCAAAAGUUAUACAUUAGUGGCGCUAAUCGAAAAACGCCGCAAAAGGUUAGAGCUAUAGUACAUUUAUGAGAAAACGCCGCAAAAGGUCUAGUAGCAACAUGCAGAAGGUCUAGCAAUAGCAGCGCUUAUGAGAAAAAUACCGCAAAAAGUCAAGCAUUAGCGGCGUUUUUAUACGCUGCAAAAAAUCAUUUUAUUUUAAACAAACGGCGCCGUUUUGCUCCCUGUAUUCUCACCCAUCAUCCAAGUGGCCAAUCAUGUAUUCUUUUUGACAACUCAUGCACUCUUUCAUCCUAUUCUGUUUAUUAUUUAACUAGUUUCUUUAUAUUAAUUAAAAUAUAAUUUAUUUUUAAUUUAAUAUUAAAAAUCUUCAAAAAAAAAAUUAAUGACAUGUAGAAAACAUUUGAAAGUAAAACCAUAGAAAAAUAUAUGUUAAAAAUGAAAAAAUUAAAUUACUAUUAUUUAAAAUACUGUUAUUUAAAAUAAUUUUAUUUGCUCUAACAAACUAAUUUCUAACCAGAAGAUUUUGAUUGGGGAUUCUAGUUUAUAGAGAGGCUUGACUCCUUUUGUAGAUGAUGGCCUAAUUAAGAUAGUUGGAUUUAGAAAUGUCCUGCAUGGUCUUGUUUUGCUUGCUCCAAAUGGACAUGGGACUCAUUUAGCACAGGUAGAAUGAGACUGUUCAUGACUGGUUUGCACUCUUUAACCUUAGGGAUUUUGAAAUUUUGGAGAUUAGACUAUAUUUGGGAAUUUGAAGAUAUAGCGAAAAUUGUAGCUCCUAACCAAAUUAGGUUCAUUGAUUAUGAGGUUGGAUCCUUCAUUGUUGGUAUAUAAAUAUUAUGAGUCGGGCAUGACAAUGAUUGUAACUUGUGAGCAUGGUUAUUUUACCUUAUUGAUAUUGAUAAAAUUAUUGAAGAUAUUACCUUUGUACUAUUUUGAUUUUUGUUGCCCGAGAUGCAAUCUUUCUCCCUGUUUAGAGCCCAUGUUUGUAAGGUGUGCCAAAAGUUGAACUUGAAUUAAAAACAUAAUAUUUAAAUUCUAAAUUUAAAUUCAUUAAUUUUUAUAUUUAGUUUUAAAGUUAAAAUUUUAAUAGAAAAUUUAAUUUAAUUAAUAUUUUUCUAUUUAGUAUAUAGUUUAAAGUGUUGGAACAUUUUCAAAUAUUUAUAGUAUCCCAAUAACUAUAAAUGAAUGGGUGUAAUUAAUCAAAAGAUAAAUCUUUUGGUCAUUGGUCAAAAGUUAUAUCAUUUGAUUUUUUUAAAAAAGAAUUAUAAUUAUUCAAAAAAUAUUAUUUGAAUAGUUACAAAAUUAAAUGAAUAAUUAUUAUUAUAUAUUUAUUCAUAAAGACACCUAUUGAAAUAUGUCUCUAUGAAGAGACAAGAAAAUUCCUAUAAAUAGGAAUGGGUUUUCAUUUGGAAAUAUAUCAACAAAUUCUUAUAUUAUUUCUUCUCUUCCUUCAUUUUCUAAUAUUAUUAGAUUAUUCUAUAAAGUAUUACUGCAGAAAUCCUUUGUAGAAAUUGAGUUUUUGUUACACAUUACUCAGUGCAUAGUGGACUAUUCUCGUCAGUGCAAAACGCAAAUAGUCAUUGGCUUCAUUGUAUCCUCGAGGUUAAUUUGCUUGGAACUCAUUUGCACACUGAAGAUAAGUGGGGGCGAAUAUAACCUUAAAGAUAGUGGCUUGAUACACGCCUUGGAGCCUUGUAUUAUUUCUUCUUUUUCUUUUCGAGUUCCGAUUGUGUGUUCGAGAUUUUCCUUACCGGAGUUUUGUAAUAACAUAAAGUUCAAAUUUCAAAAAUAAAACAUAAUAUAAUAUUUUAUCAUAGAAAUAAAUAUUAUUUAAUUAAAAUAAUUAUUUUUAAAGAUCAUGUUCUAUAGCAGCGUUUGUGGGAAAAGCGCCGCUAAAAGUCAUGUUCCAUUACACCCAAAUUAUAUCAGACACUUAACUAAAAACAUCCGAGCAACAUUGCUCCACCAACUGAUGUAACAUGGCUUUGAAAGCUACCCUAAAAUCAUCCAUUCUUUCAUGUAAUGUGUGGUAGUUGACUCUCACCCCCAUUAUUGGCUCCAAUUUAUAUUCUCGUUGAAAACUACAUUUCGAAUAGUGGUAGACUCUUCAACCGCAUCUUGCUUAACCAACUGAGGUGCCUUGGAAAACAAUUGAAGAAAAAUUUAUAAUUGAAACUUUAAUCUCAUGUCAUCAAGGAAAAAAAUAAGAAACACAUAUAUACUCAAGGAAUUUAAUUAAAAAUUUUGCAUGUUAUGCCUUCAGUUGCAAUUGUUAUAAUUACAUAGAAUAAAGUAGGAUUAAAAGGUUGUAGGAUAUAUACCUUUGUUUUGCAAUGUACAAAUUCCUGUGAAUCAAUGAAGAAACCAGUAGUAAACUUAGGGCAAUCUCUUACUUUCAACUCUAUCAUUGCUGGGAAUACAGAAUGAUAUCCUUUGGGACAAAAGUGAAUGAGGCCAGGUAGUUCUUCAAGUGAUAACCUUUUUAAUUUAUCAAAUUUCAUCUCCUCUUAAGCUACCACUUCCACUUUUUCUUCUAAUUCGAAUACUUGUUCCAAUUUAGAAUUCCUUUUAACUAUGAGAAUUUUAAGCUUUGGAAGAACAGGAACAAAUCCAAAAGGAAAGAGACUGUUCAAUUUUUUACAAUUUGUAACAACGAUCCGAGUCAAAUUGGGAAAGCUCAUAGGUUGGAGGCUAGUAUCACCAUUUGAUGAUGAUGAAGAAACUUGAUCCUUGGCUAAAAUGAGUCGUUCUAUUUCCUCACACCCCACGAUGAAAAGAUCCACCAAAUGUGAUAAACUGCGAGCCAUCAUAGGUGAAAAUAUAUAUCUUAGCUUCUUGCAAUCACUCAGUGUUAGAGUUGUAAGGUUCUCA